UCCAUCUUUGAGAGAGUUAGUGUCUAAUCAAGGAAAGCUAAUGGAUAACCUAUCUAAGAAAUUGGCAUCUAAUGAUAAAAUGCUAGAAAAUAUAAAUAAUAGAAUGGAUAAUUUCUCUACUGCCAUCAAGAAUCAAAUUAGCUUUAAUAAAAUGAUUGAAUCUCAGUUAAAUCAAAUAUCUGCUGCUGUUCCUACUACUAACCCCGGUAUACCAUCACAACCGGAAGGAUUAGAUCUGCAAAUCUUGUAGACAUGUUUGAUGCAGGUAAUUGGAGUAACCCCGUUACUGAAUUCUCUACUGACCUUCUGCCGGUCAAGAGAGGCGAUCCAGGACGCCCCGUCAUCCCGAUCUCCAUCGGCACGGUGGACGUCCCAGAAGCACUCUGCGACUUUGGCUCUAGCGUCAACAUUAUACCCAGGGUACUCUAUGAGAAAUUCUUUACAUAUCCUUUAUUAGAGACAACCAUGUGUUUGCAGUUUGCAGAUCAGACGAUAAGUUUUCCAAAAGGAAUAUUGAAGAACCUUUGCGUCCGAGUUGGUAUCUUGUAUGCCCCAGCAGACUUCGUAGUGGUAGAGACCGGAAAUGAUGAGAGGGCACCCAUCAUCUUAGGGAGGCCAUUCUUGAACACCACGGGAGCUAUCAUAUACGCUAGUGCUGCCAAGAUCAGUUUCUACAUCAAAGGGAAGAAGGAGACAUUUUUCUUCAAGAACAAGACUACACAAAUUCCAGAUCAAUCCAGACGUGAAUCAAGGAAGAGGACCAACAGGAGGAACAGGAACAAGCAAGUGUGGACCGAGUCAGCUAAGAUGGUCACUGUAGUUCAUGGAGGCCAAGAUCACCAACUUAAGUCACCAUUUUUGAUCAAGAAGGAUGACCCAGGAAUGCCAAGCAUUUACUGCUCCAUAAAUGGAUACAACUUCUACAAGACGACUUGUGACACCGGAUCGGACAUCAACAUAAUGGCCGCAGUCACCUAUCGGCUCUUGUUCGGAACCAUGCCCCUAAAACCAACAUACAUUCAGCUCCAGAUGGUAGAUCAGACAUUUCGAGAAGUUAAAGGAAUAGUAACUGAUGUCCCAGUCAAAAUAGACGAUCAUUUUGUCUACACAGACUUUCCGGUUAUUGACAUGGGAGAAGACGAGUAUGAUCCACCCAUCAUCCUUGGAAGACCGUUCCUCAGCACCGUUAAAGCAAUCAUCUACAUUGGAACUGGAGAAGUCCUUAUGCACUUCCCCUCAGAGAAGGUACGCCGUUAUUUUACUAACCCUAACUAUAUCGUUGAAGAAUCUAAGCAGGUAAGAAAGCGACGCAACCGCAACUAGAGGAGGCAGAUCAUCAGGGACGGAUGGGCAGACUACGAAGGAGAAGUGGUAAGGUCAGAAGACGUAGAGUUUAAACAGAAUUAUCCAGAGGAGACUGUAGCACCGAGUCAGGUAUGGAAAGAGAAGAUAACUGUAUAUGAAGAGGAGGCGCCGCCGGAAGUACCGACUCCGCCACCCAAUGAAUCCCAGGACAAUUGAGAAAGAGGAGAGUCCCGUUCCCAUUCGGAGGACUUAAAAACACCGAACGCCUUGCCAAGAGGUAAACUUGGUAGUUAUCCUUUCCCCCUUUCAAUUAUUUCAAGUAUUUUACUUAGUUAAUCAUAUUCAUACUAUCUUAAAAAUAAAAUAAAAAUAUGAAAAACAGUAAGCCCCAUGUGAGUAUACGAGUGGCAUGAAACCCAUAAGUACAUUCACUGUGGUGGCAUAAAAAUAAAAUAAAAAUUUCUUUUCUGCUUUAUAAAACGAAAAUAUAAAAACAGGGAGUAACAUUUAUUAAGGAGUCUCAACAUGAUAAAGGCUAGAUAUUUAUGCUAACACUUAAUCAAGUUCCACAAGCUGUGUUGUCUAUUUGAGCUCCACAGAAUUUAAGAAUCAAGAAGACUAGCAGACGGAGGACAUUCUAAUCGCUGUCAGAAUGCUGCUGACUUUCAAAUACACCUCUACCACCUGCUAGCUACAUCAAGGGAAAUUACGUCAAAAUUCAGCUUGGGGGAGAGCACCCCCAUUUAUCUCGAUAAGUAUUUCUAUCUAUCUUUAUACUUAUAUUAUAUUAAAAUAUAGAUAUACAUAAUUAUGAAAAACCAAAUAAAGAUUUUGUGCUUAUAUAUAUAUCUUUUGCUUAGUAUGUUUAAUAAAUAAAUAAAGUGGCUAUGCUAAUCUGUAUCUUAAUAAUAACACUCAAGCAUGGAUAUGAUGAAUAGUUGCUCUGCCUAAUUUGUACAUUUUAAGUUCUCUCUCAAGUUUAGAUAUAACUAUUAUAAUUUAAAGCUUGCUCUAGACCUAAACUUAUGGGAUGAAAACUUGAUCUGAAGUCUAAGUUGUUAACAGAUACGAUAUGGGAAGGUUGAGCUGCUGUUUAUCUGUUCCUAGAGAUGCUAGAAUUCUGGAGAAUUUUAUCUUUGAAAAUCUUUAAAAUGUUGUAUGAUGAGUUCCUGUAUGAUGAGAGUUUAAAUUCCUACCACAGGCAUAUAUACAUGCUUGCUAGACUUUGAGCCACACAUUUACUAUUUACUGCUUAUGAACAUUGAGUGUGGUCAAGCUGUGUAGACCCUUAGGAGCUUGUCAUGUGGUUAAAUCAAGAUUCACUUGCACGUUCACUCUUAUGCUACUUCUACUCCGGAAGUACCAUCCACAUAUAUCCAUCCAUUUCCAUCUCUAGAACCACCCAAAAAUAUUCUACUCCUAAUCCGGGAAAGAAUAGCCAAAAAUAUUUCUGUUUUCCCUUGUGAAAUAAAUGCUCAAGUUAUCUUUUUACUACCACUUGCUAUAUUAUCUCAAGAGAUGAGUGCUCUAAAAAAAAGAAAGAGAGAAAAAGAUACGAGGAAAUAAAAAGGGGCAAGUGCCCGGAACCUCGAAGAAAAGAAAAAGUGAGACGAGAGGUAAAAAUGGACAAGUGUCCGACAGUAGAAUUAGGGGUACAAGAUACCCACCUGAGAGAAAAAAAUAAAGAGCAUCUCAUUCUCCUCAUAAAGUUUCAAAAAGCAAGGAAGGUAUGUAUCCCCUCAAAGAGCAAAAGUAGAAUUAGACUUUCACCAUUGUUAUCACCAUCAUCACCAUACACCAUUCAUUCACCACACAUGCACAUCUUGAUUUGACUUAUUGAUUUGUUUCUUUGGAUCCAUGGUUUGACUAUGCAAUACAUGUCUUAUGAGUAUGUAUAUUUUAUCUCCCACCUAUGAGCUCCAGAUAUUAAAGCCUUAUUAGAGUAGGGUGAGAAAGAAGACAAUGUCACUAUGCUUUAUACCACAAAUACUACAUACUUUUUAAAAGAAGGAAUAUACCAUCACUGCCUUGGUAAGGAUCCAGAAAUACCACAAAAGAGAGAUCUGAGAGAAUCAUACAAGGAAUCUCUGAGUUUUAUUUGAAAAUCUGCAAAAACACCAGAGCUAUAGCUGAUCAAGAAUAAGAGACAUGGCACUUGACUAGACUGUUCUAUCUUUUAACUACUCAAGACAGAAGUGACGGUUACAAGUCCCAUGGUAAAAGGUAAAGUAAGUAUGUUUUAAGUCUUGAUAGUUUACUCUAACUCAGAGAUGAGAUCUUAUUUAAAAGCAUGUGUACCGUCAAUUUUUAAAGAUAUUGCAACAACUUCUAAUCCAUUGCUGAGUCUAUCCUUGCUCAGGGACGAGCAAGAGGUAAGCUUGGGGGAGUUUGUUGAUGGUCCUUAAGUAUCAAAUUUAAUUAUCAAAUAAAUAAAGAAAAGGAUCCAAAUGAAAUCAACAUCUAGACUUAGGGUUUUAUCUGACAGAAUUGCACGAGUUUUGGUGUUUGUCUAUUUCUACAGGGGGUUAUCAGGAAAUACGGAAGAAAGGCCCACACGUCGGGAUUACAUAGAGAUAUUAACAUGCCGCGCAAUUAUCUUACAUCUAGAAGACUCCAGAAGCCACGAGACCGAAGCGGAGGCGAAACGGGGCCAGAGGCAGGGCGCCCGCCCUCCUGCCCUGGGCGCCCGCCCCCUCUGAGAGUCCAACCAGGACUCUGCUUCGUGGGAGAUCUCCACCGACCUAAAGGAUCAAGGAUAACCGUUCAAUCUAAGUCGGUUUGAUCCAACGGCCCAUAUUCACUUGAAGGGACUAUAAAACCAGACCCCCUGGCCCCUGGAGGAGAGAGCCUCUCAACCCUAAUUCAUUAUUCCUUAAGGGAGAAGAAGCCUCUGAUCAAGAUUAGAGCCACCACAUCAAUUAGACAUCUAGAUUAGCAUAGCUACAUAGGAUUAGAACUAGAAGGAGUCAAUCUUCGAUUGGUUUCCGGAUCUGUCAAGAGGAUUCUUGGUAAUUCUCUAAUUGUGCUUCUAAUUGUUCUUUUAAUUAUCUUUGUUCUUCAAUAUUAUGAAUAUGACUUUGUUCUACUUCAAUAUAUUGCUUAUGACUUUGCUCUACUUGUUUAUAUUCAAGAUUAUAUUGUUCUUAGUUUAUCAUGGUUAUGUACUUGGCUUAGUUAGAUUGGAUCUAUAUACAUGCUUAGGAUCGUAUAGCGUUUAUCCAUCGGAUCCAUGGGUAAAUGAUAGAUAUUGUGUAGGUGUGGUGCUUAUACCAUAUUUAUCUGCGAUUGUACCCAAUAUGCCAGAUCGUGGGGUAGUUCGUGAUAGUGACAACUUCAUUGAUUCUUAUAUAUUCCCCCUCUCGUGUAUUGGGCUGGCAGAGCAAUAUUAUUACAGGGGAGUGAUUGCUAUGUUUCUCAUUUACCUUGCUAAUAUCACUAUGCAUGGGCGUAGUCUUGUCUCACAAUGAUUGCUAAGUAUGCUUGCACUAACUAUGAUAUGCUAGACUAUAUAGUUGAGAAUAACUUAGGUAAUAUUCUUGUAGUUCGUUCUAAUACCAUGCUAAUGACUUUCUAGAGUAUCUAAUUGAGGUGCUUAUCAUAUUUAUUAUGUGGCUAGAUCAGAUUAAUUAUCUUUGUCACUAUUCAUUAUUUCAUAUAUCCUUUAUGUGACACUUAUCCCUGUAUGAAAGAGUUAUAUACAAUGUUCUCAAUUAUACAUGCAAUGAUAGAUGCUCAAUCUCAUAUUCUAUUCUGUAAUCAAUAGUGAUGAUUGCUAAUCCCUUCCCAAUGGUAAAAAUAUAAAUAACGAUACCUGGAAUACUUCUCGGUUAAAAUGCUACAUCGGUAUUAAUUUGUGCGCUUGCAGAUCCCAUUCAUUAUUUAUUUAGAAGAGCAAUUGCAUAUUUCAAUACCGCGUCUCUCAUGUCAUGCUGGGGAUGACAACUUGGCUUAAGUGGUGUGAGGGAUAGGUUUGGCAUUUUUGGCACCGUUACUAGAGUUAGGAAAUUGUCUACUUUUGGUAAUGAUGUUAAGAAUACCCAACACGCGUUCGGUGUGCGGGCGUUUUGUGACUCUCUCUGCGCAUGGGUCCGGUGAGCACCGGACGCUACCGGUGCUUAGCGUCCGGUGACCCUGCGAGUUUGCAGAGCUCUCUGCGCAUGAGUCCGGUGUGCACCGGACGGUGCUAACUUGUUCAACGUCCGUUGCACUGCAGGUGUCCGUUAGAUUCUGACACACGGCUGACGUUGGAGCACCGGACGCUGAGUCUGAGCGUCCGGUGCCCCUUUUUAAGAGCGUUCGGUGACCCCGUAUUUCGCCCAGUGAAAGAGCCAACGGCUCUAUUUGCUUGAGGGGCUAUAUAUACGUGUUUGGCCGGCUUGGGGCUCACUCUCUUGGCAUUUUAGCUUACUUGACAUGCUUGUGAGCCUAAGCAUACAACUUCCACUCAUCUCCUUCAUAGAUUAAACAUCUUUGUGAGAUUGGGAGUGAUUCCAAGUGCAUUUGCUUGAGUGAUUGCAUCUAGUGGCAGUUGGGGAUCGUUCUAGUUGCGGUUUUCUUGUUACUCUUGGUGGUUGCCACCACCUAGACGGCUUGGAGCAGCGGAGGAGGAUUGGCACGAGUUGGUGAUUGUUCAUGGCCAUCUCCCGGUGAUUGUGAGGGGUCUUGUACCUUCCCCGGCGGAGAGCCGAAAGGUAACUCUAGUGGAUUGCUUGUGUCAUUGAGUUACCUCACUUGUGGGUAGGUUCUUGUGGUGUCCUAGUGAGGACGAGGUUCGUGCUACACCUCUUAGCCACCGAACCACCAAGUGUUGGUCGACACAACGGGGACGUAGCGUGCCGGCAAGCACGUGAACCUCGGGAGAAAAAUUGUGUGUCUCCAUUGUGAUUGUUCUUUGGAUUUCUCCUCGUGAUUGGACUUCAUACUAUUGAUUGGUUCAUCCCCUCUACGCGGCGGUAUAAAGUUCAAACCAUCUCUUCUACAUUCCUGCAAACUAGAGUAGCUUACUUACUUGUAUAGAAACUUUAGGUAGCUUUCUAGUGUAAGUAGUGACAUAGCUCUUGUGUGCCUAGUGAUUAUAUCAACUAGAAUUGUUGGAUAGGUGGCUUGCAAACACCCUAUUAGAGCUAGAGCAAAAAGCUUCGCUUUGUUAUUUACUAACCUCUUGCUCUAGUGAGUUUGUAGAUUUUUUUUUAAAAUAGGCUAUUCACCCCCCCUCUAGCCAUAUUAGGACCUUUCACCUCCCCGCGCCAAGUUUUUCCCCGAGGGCUCCUCCAUCCUCUUCUGCGCUCUUGGCUCUCCUCUAGUGCGGUUUUAGGGUUUCAGGGUGAGUUUCUUGAACCCUGCCCUCAAGGUGUUCGACUCAAUGCCUAAACGGAUUUGAAUAUUGUUUCUGACAAUGUUCCCUUUCGUUUACCCUUCAUAGCACCUUGAGGAGUGGAUUUGCGUUCUCCGGUGAUUCUCUUUCACGAUCUUUUAUCUGGAACGCAUCUCGUCGCCCGAUCGUAAGCAGUUCGCGCCCGUUCCUUAUAUGUUCUUGCGAUCUAUAGGGUUUUCUCACCUCUAGCUAUUAUGUUUGCUUAUAUAUAUCCCAUCCAUUCCAUCUCUUGCAGCUCGUUGGUCUCUAGUGUCGUUUGGCAGUGACAGUCAACUCGGGGCAAAGCCCGCGAGUACGGAGUGAGGCCAAGCCUCUUGAGUGACAGUUGGUCAGUUGUCGGCAGUGGUUCAGGGAUAGUUUCUUGCAAUGGCACGUUGCAAGAAUGUCAGUGGUCCGGCAGCCAGCUCAGGGGGUUCUCCAGGAGGUGAUGGUGGAGGUGACCCUCCCCGUCGCUUGUCAGCAGCACAAAAGGGUAAAGGCAAGAAGCUGGCCACCAAGAAGAGGAAGGCUAGUGAUAGAUAGGCUGAGGUGGCAGAGGCAGUUGCAGCGGCAGCUGAGGCAGCAGAGAGGGGUGGACACUCAGGUGCCUUGAGGAUUGGGGUCGAUCUCACGCCACGGUAGAGGCGUGCAGUUCUUGAGGCUGAGGCACUUCACGGGUCUCCUCCUGGCACAAUCAUGCUAGGAGGUCAGCGUGUCAUGAUUGCAGUCACAGAGUCAGCUCAGGAGGACACGGAGACUGAGAUAGAGGCAGAGGCCCAGGAGCAGCCCCUCAGGAGGUCGACUUGCGCUCGUACUCAGGCCAUCCCUAGGACUAGUACGCAGGGUCAGUCUACCUCCGCUGCUCGCUCUACUCCAUCUCAUGGCCCUAUAGCUCCACGUCCAGCACCAGUGAGGAUACAUAAGGAUUACACCUAGGUCUCCGCUCGAGAGAUUCAGGAGCUGCGGUUUGUUCCCUUUCUGACUUGGUUUCUAGCUUCUAGGGAUCCAAGAGCCAGUGCCAGAUUCUAUACAGUGGUUCAGGAGGAUAUGUACGAGGCUCUUGUCCGCUCAUAGGCUCAGUUCAGGGAGCACAGGGUGCUCAACCUUGAGAUACUUGGGAACGUGGUCGGUGUGGACAUCAGGCAGUACUUCACUUAUCUGACCGGUCUCCUAGAGUUAUUUGCUUUACCUAGCACUUAUUGUGAGGAGUGUGUCCGAGAGUUCUAUGCCUCAGUGUGGGUUUCACCAGAUCAUAGCUACAUUCACUACGCACUGGCAGGCACUGACUACAGAAUGACAGCUCGGAGGGCCAGAGAGGUGCUUGGUUUGACUACUUCCUCUACCAGGAUCCACCAGCUUUGCUACGGGAACUUUGAGCCUCCUCGACGUCCUCACGGUGGUGCUCUACCACCGGUUGACUUUGUGGCUCCCUGUUUCCGUCAGCCUUUUGGAGAGCGCUCCACCAGGACAGUGGGAGAUUUGACUCGCCCAGCCAAGAUCCACGACUUUGUGUUGAGGAAGACGCUCUUUCCACGAUAGGCUACAGAGACGGCUUCACCAGGACUCAGCAGUUGUUGGUAGCCCACCUGAUCUCGAAGACUCCAUUUGAUUUGUGGGAUUUGAUUGUGUCAGAGAUUGAGGACACAAUAUUGGAGAGCUUUAGGGGGCGUCGUCAACUACCAUACACACACUAGAUCACUUUGCUUAUACUUCAUGCUAGACCAGAGCCUCUCCCAGCUCACCUAUAGAGAGAGCUGACAGAUUCCGACACCGUGUUCCCUCACUAUGACCCAUGGCAGAUGUUGAGAGCACAUCAUGACCUUAGAGCUCCGCCACCUCCUCAAGCACCAUGUGGCCAGGUGCCACCACCUUCUCCUAGGGCCACUCGUAGUUCAGGAGCAGUCCCAGAGACUGAGGAGGAGCAGGAUAUCGCCAUUGGGGCGUUUGUAGACGCUGAGGCUGAGGAUGAGUUUAACUUUGCUUCAGACAGCUUAGACGAUGAUUAUCGUCUUCCAGUGCCAGACCUUCCUCUGAGGCCACACGACCACGAGACAGGAGGUUCCUCGAGUGCUUCAGACCCCGCUCUACUUGCUAUUCUAGAGGGGAUGAGAGCCGAUCAGCGGCGGGCAGCUGAGGAGCAGGCUAGGAGAGACAGGGACUAGGCUGCCAUCAAUGCAACCACGCAGGCUAGGCAGGACGAGCUCUAGAGACACCUUCUGACCUUCCAGGAGCAGUAGCUUGCGUUCCAGGCUCAGCAAACGGCGCUGAUGGCCACUCUUAUGGCCGCCUCAGGGAUUCAGCUUCCUCAGAUACACCUCCCAGGCACUUCGUUAGUCAGGCCUCCUACCCCAGUGCCUCAGAGUCAGUCUCAGCCACCGCUUCAGCUUCCUGCUCAAAGUCAGCCAUUGUCGACGCCACAGCACUAGGUUUUAUAGGGUGUCAUCUCUUCUGGCUUUGAGCAGCCUCAGUUCACGCCUCUAUGCUCUGGUUUUACACCUCAGUCAGCGACAGCGUCACAGCUUGUGUUGGACUCGUCGGCAGGCUAGCACAUUAGUUUCUCUUAUAGUGCUCUGACUGGUGACCCUACUCCUCCACCUCUACAGGCUCCUGCAGCCUUUACGGUCCCAGUUACCACCACAGAGCGCCUGUCGUCGUCAGUAGCUUCGUCUGAGCAGCUUGCACCUUCCUCUAAUGUGCCAAAGACGUCACCUACAGCGACAGAGUCCGUGCCAGCUUCGUCGGCAGGACUUGAGCAGACAGCACAGCCUGUGACCGCCUCCGAGCCCACAGAGCUGACCCAGACCGCUUCUCCAGCACGUGCAGCUUCAGAGGGUCACUCUACCUCCUCCGACUCGAUGGCCGAUGGAUCAGACGAUGCAGCACAGUUUCAGGCCGUGCCGAGGGACUCCAUUGCUCCGCCUCCACCUCUGUCUUCUUAGGUUUUUGGCGCUUGAUGCCAAAGGGGGAGAGAGUUGAGAGUAUGAGAGUUAGGGGGAGCUAGAGCUAGUUUUUGGGCUCUUUGAUUAUUUUGUGUGCUACACCAUGCAUCAUAUUUACGUUUAUGCAUUGCAUUUGGGUGAAAUACUCUUGUGAGAUACUUCUAUGGUUGUGAGACAUGACCUAUGCUUAUCUGUGAUAUCUUUAUGUCAUUUGUUUGGCUCAUACUACUUUGCUUCCGCAUUUUUACUCCGAUGUACUAUGAGCCAUUUGUGUUUAUAUCCUGUUGUAUUCAUCUCACAUAUUUGGAUGCAGGAUGGUAGACUUGGUUGAUAUAAGCAUGCCUAUUUCUUUUUGUUCCUAUUGUCUCAUGCUUAUAGAAACCAAGUCAUUUGAAAACCUCAUUCUCUUUCAUACUCGAGGUUAUUGUCAUCAAUCACCAAAAAGGGGGAGAUUGAAAGAGCAUCUAGGCCCCUAAUGAUUUCGGUGAUUAAUGACAAUGUUGAUUACGGUGACUAAUGUGUGUUUUGCAGAGGCAAAGUCAUUAGUGAGGUCAUGGUAAUAGGUACUCGAUGAACAGGGAUGUACAUGCCUACUUAAUAGUGGAAAUCGUUUCAGUUUUCAAAGGAUGGAUGGACAUCGUCAAGACUAGACUAGGUCUAAGUGCCAUAUGGUGAAGAAGCACACUUAGAGUAGUUUAGGACUUUGUUUUCCUUUGACCGUACUAUUAAGAGGGGCUUUGAUCUAGUAGCUUGACUUAGGCAAGGCUUUAGGUUUAGGUGUGGUGCACACUUGGUAAACCUAGCACUAGGCAGCUCAAAGAUAGUCCUUAGAUCGAGAGGAACUAACUUCGUUUUGGAACGGUUGCGUUUCGACGAAGUUAGGGUGCCUAAGUAGGCACCGGACGCUGCACCGGACGCUCUGUGACUGCGCGUCCGGUGAGGUCCCUAGCUGUUGGAGUGUUUUUAUGCCUAGGGUUAGGCACCGGACGCUGGCACCGGACUCACCGGGCAGCGUCCGGUCCCAUACCCAGGGAGGUUGUAAACCUUCCCCGAGCACCGGACGCUAGCACCGGACGCACCGGGUAGCGUCCGGUCUUAAACUUAGGGAGUUUGUAAAACUCCUCGGAGCACCGGACGGUGCCACCGGACGGUAGGAAGUAGCGUCCGGUGACCUGUCAGAGACAGUACACUUAGCCGUUGAAGUGUCACCGGACGCUCGGUGCAGAGCGUCCGGUGCAACAUCAACAGCGUCCGGUGACCCCGUUUUCAGUGGAAAACGGUUGGCUAACCUUUGGACUUCGUGGGGUGUAUUUAUACUACUCCACCUCAUCCAUGAGAAGUCUCUUGCCCAUUUGAACAUCUGAGAAACUUGUUGUGGAGCAAGAGAGUAGCAAGAGCCUAGAGAGGAUUGAGAUUUGAGUGAUUUCUUGUGAGAAUCCUUCUCUAGUUGAAUUCCAAGAGUCAAGUGUGCAUCCACCACUCUCUAGUGCCUUGUUUGGGUCAAGUGAGAGUUCUUUGCUUGUUACUCUUGGUGAUCGCCAUCACCUAGACGGUUUGGUGGUGAUUGGAGGCACGAAGACCGCCCGGAGUUCUUGUGGGUGGCUCGUGUCAAGCUUGUGAGCGGUUUUGGGCGAUUCACCGUGACGGAGUGUCGAAGAAUCAGCCCGUAGAGAGCACUUGGUCCUUGCGCGGACCAAGGGGGAGCAAGACCCUUGCGCGGGUGCUCCAACGAGGACUAGUGGAGAGUGGUGACUCUCCGAUACCUCGGCAAAACAUCGCCGAGCACUUUCUUCCACUACUCCUUUACUUUCUAGCAUUUACUUUGUGUUUUUACAUUCUUAGAAUUGCCAUGCUAGAAUAGGGUUGGAACUAGGCUGCAAACCUUUUAUCCGGUAGCUCUCUAGUCACACUAGGCAUAAGGGGUUGAAUUGAAGCUUAUAGGUUGCUUAAAUUUUUAGAGAAGCCCAAUUCACCCCCCCUCUUGGGCAUCUUGAUCCUUUCAGGGCCAAAAUAUUAUCUUCUAAUGUCUAGUAACUUGGCAAUAGAGCACACAUACUACCACAUUAUGAUUAGGUGCAACUAGUCAUGGGUCAGCAGAUCAUUUGGUGUUCUAAGAAAAAUUUGACCGUUAGAGAAAUGACAAGUGAGCUUGCUUGGGGCUAUGUAUACCUGUUGACACCGUUUUUUGGGCACGUGUCCAGGCCGACAGGAUGAGACGGCGGUGUUUUGUCUACAGGAUGAGUUGCCGAUGAGGAUGGUUGCCGAUGAAGGAGGGGUUGAACGUGACUAAGUUUAUAGGUGUGAUGUGUCUGUGCCGAUGGCUAUGACAAGGAAGUCUGCCGAUGACUAUGACAAGGGAAUCUGCCGAUGAUACGAAGGGAGAGUCCAGAAGCUGUCGAUCGGUUUGUGGAAGAGUUUCAGCUUGUCACGGGGGAUAGCUUUAUUAUUUCCUUAGUUAUUUAAAUCGUUUUGUAUACGGAUUCCAUGUAAUUUGGAAUUCAAAUUCUAAUCGUGUCUGGUUGUAGCUCUUUGAGCAGGGUAUAAAUAUAGACCCUAGGACCUUGUAAUGAUCUAUCUAUCAAUCAAUCAAACACACAUUUUUACUCAUGUUCUAGCAUCUACUUUUUCGAUGACUUCGUCAUACUUUUUCCUUUUCACUACGAGUUCUUAGGAAUUCGUCGACUUAAGCUCGGCGUGUUCUCAAGUUCCGCGUGAGUACCUCUUAGCCGUGACAUCCGGGCGCAUCGCUGUUGUCAGGACUAAAGUAUUCGAGUUACCACCUUUGCCGAUAGUAAGGUCAAAUCGGCUGGCACGCCUUAACGUUUGAAUCGGGUAUUAGCCCUUUGUGUUUGCAGACCAGCUUUUGCACCAACACAUCUUUUGGCACGCCCGGUGGGACAGAUCCAAGAUCAAGAUCAACAUGUCGACUUCUAAGUUUGAUCAAGAGAAUGUCAUCCCCGUGACGGAAGCCAAUCUCAAGGAUGAGCAGAAGCAAGCUAUUGCUAAAGCCAUGGAGGAUUACAAGCAGCAAUGCCUGAGGUCCUUCAGCAUGAACAGGAGCGGUGAGGUGAUUCAGAAGGAUGCACUGCCGGCACCUCGGCAGGUUACUUUAGAGUCUAAUCCUAGCAAACUUCAAGAGAUGGUUGACAGCGCUAUCAACCGUGCUUUGAUCAACCAAGCUGGUGUACUGUCUAAUACGGUUUUCAAUGCCGUAGCAAGAACUUUCAAGGAGGGACAAUUGCCACCAGAUUAUGUGGGCCCCACUUAUCACUAGCCAAAGUCACCAGUGGUCACAGCUCCAUCGGCAGCUACGGCCGCUGCGGGUAUGGAGAUUCCUGUUUCGCCAAGCACGUUGGGAGUCACCAAUGGACAAUCUAUGCCGAUGACUGCUAAUUCACAGACUUUAGAUGGGCAGAUUAAACUUGCCACAGAUCUGUUAGCAUCGGCAAUGACAGGGUUAACUCCUCCUCCCAACUGGUGGGGUUAUGGCAUGCCUCCAGAGUUAACGCCGGGUACAUCGCAGACGACUGACAUGAGAGGCAAGACCCCUAUGACAUCGGCACGUCCCAAUAUGCCGAUGAGUCACAGUCCCCAGUAUACUACUACAACUACUACUGCAAGACCUUACACUGGGAAUUCUCAAGCUCCAAUGUUCCAGAUACCCAACGCAUCGGCAGACUCGAUGCUGAUGCAACAGAAGUCUAUGGCUCAAUCAGGGUAUGUCAAUUCAACGAUGAUACCCAAUUACCAGUCAUCGGCAGGGCCUAUGCCGAUGAACGCUAAUAAUGGAUGGCUUGGGCAGCAAGUCUUUCCGCAAAUGCCCCAACAGAGUCACCAGGCUACAGGGUUCCAGCAAGGACAGAUCUAUCCCGGACUCCAGAAUCAGGGGAUCCUUAACCAGCCAAUGAAUUUCGGACAACAGGUCGGCGGACAGCAGAUUGGCGGGCAACAGCUUGGUGGUCCUCAGGUGGGAGGCCAGAUAAUCAACCCAAUGUUCCGUGCAGAUCAUGCACCAAACAGACACGUGGAGGCUUACCAGCAGGUGCAGGAUCCAGAACCACCGCAUCGGCAAGAUGCCGAUGCAUACUGGGCCGAUAAGAUCGCUGAAGUAAUGAGAGAUCAAUUUGGGAUAAAACCCAAAGUUAACACUUACUCUUAUCGGACACCGUAUCCUCCCGCAUAUGAUCUGAUCCCGCUUCCGCAUCGGUACAAGGUACCGGACUUUACUAAGUUUUCUGGAUAGGAUGACACGUCAACCAUGGAGCACGUCAAUAGGUUCAUUAUUCAAUGCGGAGAAGCUGGUAACAGGGACGAGUUAAGGGUUCGUCUAUUUUCAUCAUCGUUGUCUGGAUCGGCUUUUACCUAGUUCAUAUCACUACCUCCCAACUCAGUGAUUACUUGGGCCGAUCUGGAGAAACAAUUCCACAAAUACUUCUUUUCUGGGGUUCAUGAGAAGAAGAUCACCGAUUUGGUCAAAUUGAGGCAGUGUAAUGAUGAAUCGGUUGAAGGUUUUGUACAGAGGAUACGGGAAGUCAAGAACAAGUGCUAUAGUCUGGUUCUGGACGAUCGGCAGCUAGCCGAUUUGGCUUUUCAGGGUUUGUUGCCACACAUCAGGGACAAAUAUGCAUCUCAGGAGUUUGAAAGCUUGAGUCAUCUGGUGCAGAGAAUCUCUGAUCAAGACAUUAAGCCGUUUGAACCCAAGAGAGCAUAGAACAAAAAGGUGUCGUUCGUUGAUGAAGCAACAAGCUCAGAUUAUGAUGAGGAACCAGUCAUCGGCUUGGCAGAGUGGGUAAAAAAUAAGAAGCCAAUGUCUUGCCCUUUUGGGCAGAAGGAACCAGAGAAGUUCGCUUUUGACACCGCUAAGGCCGAUAGGAUAUUUGACUUUCUACUUUAGGAAGGUCAGAUCAAGCUGUCUCCUAAUCACGUGAUCCCAUCGGCUGAGGAGUUAAGAAGGAUGAAAUAUUGCAAGUGGCAUAAUGCAACUUCUCAUGAUACCAGUGAGUGCAAGGUUUUCAGACAGCAAUUGCAAUCGGCUAUAGAAUCUGGGAGGAUCAAAUUUGACGGCUCCAAGACCUAGAAGCCGAUGAAGAUUGACCAACAUCCUUUCCCAACGAACAUGUUAGAUGCUAAGGGAAAAGCCAAGGUCUUAACUUCAGAAGCAGCCGAAAGAAGUGCAUCGGUGGAUCCUCAGCAUCAAGUCACUACUGCCGAUGCGAGAGGAAGAGGCUUGGUCCAGGAAAGAACCAGCUCAGGAAGGCCUCCCCGAUCUGGGAUUGUAAUAACUCAAAGAAGGCCUCGGGAAACUUGGCAGCAACGAGAAGAUCGAUAUCGGUGCCAGCAAGAAGAUCAUCGUCGGGAAGAAGAGAGACGCCGACAGGAGUGGAAUCGGCAUAGGGAUCACUGGAAUUGUCCGUUCUUCAUCCAUUGCUGGGAAGAGAAUAUCAAGCUUCCUACUGUCAGAGAUUUCCCUGAGUGCAAUGGUUAUGAUCGGUACGACAGGUCCGAUCGGAACUAUCGUAAUAAUGAUCGGCGCUUCAAUGGGCCGAUUAGAGGGAGAGCAUCUGUCCAUGAUCGGUUGGGGGGCAGACUCAGUGUGCACGACAGGCUUGGUGAUCGUGUUCAAUAUUUUCCCAGGAACCAGGAAGAGCUCGAGGAGAUGGCUAAUGCACGAUUUCCCGACGAAUUCGUAUUUUGCAGGGACGCUAAUACACACCGGAUGGAGUCAAGGGAAAAUCGAUGCCCAGCAGCAAGGCAGAAGCCGCUUCCUCCAUGGUGUCCAGAGGGGUUGACCAAGACACAGAAAAGGAGACUGCAGCGCGAAAGGCAAGAAGGGCUAAGCAAGGGCGAGAACUCUGGUCAGUCUGGAGAUCAGCAGCAAUCAGAUCCCAAGGGGGAAGACCCAUCGGCAAGUGUCAACAUGGUCUUUAUGUUGCCGAUGGAGUUUCUUGCGCCAUCCAGUGAUGAUGAGUUGGAAUUGUCCAACCAAAUAGCUCAGUUGGCUUUGGAUCCGAUGACCGCUAUCUUCGAGAAACCUGCCGAUGAUGGAAGACAACAUCUCAAGGCUCUGUUUGUCAAGGGAAGAGUUGAUGGGCAGCCGAUGACCAAGAUUCUAGUUGAUGGUGGGGCUGCUAUCAACAUCAUGCCAUAUGCAGUAUAUCGGAAGCUUGGAAGAGGGGAUCAGGAUUUGACCAAGACCGAUAUGAUGCUUAAAGAUUUUGAAGGGAACGUGUCUCCAGUCAAGGGGGCAAUAUGCGUAGAGUUGACCAUCGGCAGCAAAACCUUGCCAACAACCUUCUUCGUGAUCAGUGGGAAGGGUGCUUACAACUUGCUAUUGGGAAGAGAUUGGAUUCAUGCUAAUUGUUGCAUCCCAUCUACAAUGCACCAAUGUUUGGUUCAGUGGGUAGGUGACAAAAUUGAGAUUGUCCCGGGAGAUUCUUCUUAUGUCAUUGCGUCGGCAGAGGCGGACACCUAUGAGAGGACCAGGUGCAUUUCAGGAGAAGUUUGGGAGAAAGAUUUUCUCAAGGUUGCCGAUUACGAGAUUCCACCGAUCCAAGCAGUCGGUUCUGAUGACGGUUUUUAAUGGAUAGGUUCGCCGAUGAUGGAAAGUUAGGCCAGGGAUUCACAUCGGCCGAUGAUUUGGUAGAAGUAGAUAUCGGUAGUGGUGAUAAGCCUAGACCUACUUUUAUUAGUGCUAAGUUAAAUCCUGAAUGUAAGCAGCAAUUAACCAAUUUGUUAAAGGAAUAUAAAGAUUGCUUCGCUUGGGGUUAUACUGAGAUGCCUGGUUUGGACCGAUCAAUUGUUGAACAUCGGUUACCCAUCAAGUCUGGAUUUCGGCCACAUCAAUAGCCAGCUCGCCGAUGUAAUCCUAGCAUCCUCCCUGAUAUUAAGGCCGAAAUCACCAAACUUAUUGAAUCUAGGUUUAUUCGGCAGUGUCGGUAUGCCGAAUGGAUUUCCAAUGUUGUUCCGGUCUACAAGAAGAACGGGAAGCUUCGGGUAUGCAUUGAUUUUAGGAAUCUCAAUAAAGAUACGCCGAUGGAUGGAUACCCAAUGCCUGUUGCCGAUCUGCUAGUUGACGCCGUGGCUGGGCAUCGGAUCAUUAGCUUUAUGGAUGGCAAUGCAGGAUACAAUCAGAUAUUCAUGGCAGAAGAGGAUAUUCCAAAGACUGCAUUUAGAUGUCCUGGUCAUGUUGGAUUGUUUGAAUGGAUAGUCAUGACCUUUGGUCUAAAGAACGCUGGUGCUACAUAUCAAAGGGCCAUGAAUUUUAUAUUUCAUGAGUUCAUCGGCAAACUGGUGGAAAUUUAUAUUGAUGAUGUGGUGGUUAAGUCCGAGGACUUCGCAAAGCAUCUCGCCGAUCUACGAAAGGUAUUGGAGUGCACAAGGAAGCAUGGAUUGAAGAUGAAUCCCAAUAAGUGUGCAUUUGGUGUAUCAGCAGGGCAGUUUCUUGGUUUCAUGGUGCAUCAAAGGGGGAUUGAAAUUAGUCGAAGAUCUAUUGAUGCCAUCAAUAAAAUAGUAGCCCCUACCAAUAAAACUGAGCACCAGUCCCUGAUCGGCAAGGUAAAUUUUAUCAGGAGAUUUAUAUCUAAUUUGUCUGGUAAAAUUCGUGCUUUCAGUCCUCUUCUUAAACUAAAAGCCGAUCAAGAAUUUAUUUGGGGGAAAGAACAGCAAUUGGCUCUGGAUGAGAUCAAGAAGUAUCUAGUGAAUCCUCCAGUUCUAAUUCCACCUCAGCAAGGAAAGCCCUUCAGAUUGUAUUUGUCUACCGAUGGCAUGAUUAUCGGUUCAGCUUUAAUUCAAGAAUUUGAAGGGAAAGAGCGUGUAAUUUAUUACUUAAGCAGGAGGUUGAUUGAUGCUAAGACCAGGUAUUCGGCCAUUGAGAAACUAUGCCUAUGCUUAUAUUUUUCGUGUAUUAAGUUAAGGCACUACUUGUUAUCGGCCGAAUGCACUGUUGUUUGUAAGGAUGAUGUGGUCCGGUAUAUGCUAUCUAUGCCGAUUAUGAGUGGCAGGAUCGGUAAAUGGAUUUUGGCGCUGUCGGAAUUCGAUCUGCAUUAUGAAUCGGCUAAGGCAGUUAAAGGGCAGAUUAUGGCCGAUUUUGUGACUCAACAUUGCGGUGCAGUGGAGGCUUUGGAAAUUGUGCCCUGGACGCUUUUCUUUGAUGGAUCUACGUGUGACCGGGGAGCAGGAAUCGGCAUAGUAUUAGUUUCCCCUAAGGGGAGGAAGUAUGAAUUUUCUUUGCCGAUUGUUGCUACAUCAACAAAUAAUCAGGCUGAGUAUCAGGCUUUGAUAAAAGGAUUGGAGUUGUUAAGGGAAGUUCGUGCUGACGCUGUCGAAGUCUUCGGGGAUUCUAUGUUGGUUAUAAAUCAAUUGGCUGGGAGCUAUGAAUGCCGAAGUGAAGUUCUCAUGACUUAUUACGAGAAGAGCAUGCAACUGUUAAAGGAAUUCAAAGAUUUCCGUUUAGAGCAUGUUCCCCGAUUGCAUAAUGAAGAGGCCAAUCGGUUAGCUCAGCAUGCCUCAGGAUAUCAGCCUAUGAUUAAUACAGUAUCGGCAAUCGAUGCCGAUGAUUGGAAGAAAGAAAUUAUUGAUUAUUUGAAAGAUCCAUCUAAGAAAGUUGAAAGACGAGUUCGAUUUCAAGCGACCAAGUAUGUGCUCCUUGAAGAUGAAUUAUACUAUCGAACUAUUGAUGGAAUUCUUCUCCGAUGCUUAGGUGAUGAUGAAGCUAGGAGUUUGAUGGGAGAAAUUCAUGAAGGGGUGUGUGGAGCACAUCAGUCAGCUUUUAAGAUGAAGUGGAUGAUUAGGAGGAAUGGAUAUUAUUGGCCGACUAUACUUGAGGAUUGCUUUAAGUCAAGGGUGUCAAAAGUUUGGUAAUAUUCAAAGGGCACCUGCAUCGGCUAUGAAUCCUAUUAUAAAGCCUUGGCCGUUCCGAGGAUGGGCUAUUGAUCUGAUCGGCCAGAUUUAUCCACCAUCUAGCAAAGGGCAUAAGUUUAUUGUAGUUGCCACUGAUUAUUUCACUAAGUGGGUCGAAGCUAUUCCUUUGAAAAAAGUCACAUCGGCCAAUAUGAUUGAUUUUGUGAAGGAGCAUAUCAUUUACCGAUUUGGGAUUCCUCAAACAAUUACUACCGAUCAGGGCACUAUGUUUACAUCGGGGGAGUUUGAUGAAUUUGCAAUCGGUAUGGGGAUUAAAGUGUUGAAUUCUUCUCCUUAUUAUGCUUAAGCCAGUGGGCAGGCCGAGGCGUCUAACAAAGGAAUUAUCAAGCUUAUCAAACGAAAGAUUAAAGAAAAUCCUAAGCGGUGGCAUACGUUAUUAAAUGAAGCGUUGUGGUCCUAUCGGAUGGCUUGUCAUGGAUCAACCAAGGUGUCACCCUAUCAAUUGGUGUAUGGACAAGAUGCAGUGUUAUCUUGGCAGAUUAAGGCUGGAUCUAGGCGAUUAUCUUUUCAAGAUCAAUUGGCUGCCAAUGAUUAUGCCACUUUGAUGACCGAUGAGUUAGAUGAUCUAGCAGGGCAUCGGUUAAAGGCUUUGAUGAGUAUAGAAGAAAAUAAGAAGAGAGUUGCUAGAUGGUAUGACAAGAAAGUAAAAGCUAAGGAGUUUGCCGAUGGGGACUUGGUAUGGAAAUUAAUUUUACCGAUCGGGACUAAAAGUUCGAAGUUUGGAAAGUGGUCUCCUAAUUGGGAAGGUCCUUAUCGGAUAAGUCGAUCGGCUCCUGGUAAUGCUUAUAUUCUAGAAACUCUCGAAGGAGUUGAAUUUCCCAGAGCAUUAAAUGGCAAAUAUUUAAAGAAGUACUACCCCAGCAUAUGGGUCGAUGCAUAAAAGUUUAAGUGCCGAUAACACUCCUAUCGGCUGGAUUUAAAUGUUUGGGAUUAAUGUUUCAAGAGAUGCCAAUAACAGUCCUAUCGGCUAGACUAAAAGUUGAAAGAGCAGGAAAAGACAGAUAUGUCACCGAUGAGAGCCUCAUGUGUUCAGCAGUGCCUGGAUCGCUGAUAUGGCGCGUAGCCGGAUUUGGUUGGCUGCUUCUAUCUCUUUGAUAUCGUCAUCGGCAGAACCUUCUAUCGGCUUCAGCUUCUUCUUCAAUUGUAGUGCCUUGCGACCGUGGACGUUUCGCUCUUGCUCAAGGAGCUUGAUGGUCUCUGGCAGUUGGCUUUCUUCCUGUCGGGCUUGGGAUAAGGCGUCUUCCACUUGUUUGAGUUCUGCCAACAGGGAUUCCCUUUUUGCCGAUAGGUCAGAUAUCUUCUGCUUCAGUGUGUCUCCUGAAGAUCUCAAGAUGCCUUUUUGUUGUAGUUCCCUAAGUUCUUGUGCUUCUCAUCGGUUAGGAGCUUCUCUUUCCUCAUCUCUUCAGAAAGCUGAGUCUGAGCAGCUCUAUCGGCGAGGCGCCGAGAAGCCCUCUGGUACUGCAGCUGACGACUCUCCAAAUGUGCGGCAUGGAAGAGGAUUUCUUCGACAUCGGCUGGGAACUGGCCUCUGAGAGUCCUGAACAGAACCUUGGCUGGGUUGGAGUCAUCGACCAGUUGUGCCGUAUCCUGAUGGAGGAGGGCCGACAGUUCUUCUAGCUUGGCCCUGAUCUCUGCCGAUGUGAUGCCAACUGUCUGGGAAGAGCUUGCUUCUUCACCUUCUUCUUCAAAGAUGUCGAUGGCGAAGGAGAAUAGGCUGUCGGGAGAAUCUUGUUCCUGGAAAGGAAAACAAAGUAAGUUAGUUCAUACUCGGAGAAUCGGCAAAUAAUACUGAUGAAGAUUGGGUGACUUACUUGCUUCAAGGCUAUUUCUUGCCUUUGACUGGAAGAUGCCGGUGGAGCCGUAGGUUGAUCGGCCAGGGUUGCCGAUGGAACGACAUCGACUGAAAGGAGACAGAAAUAGUUAUGAGACUGAAUGAGAAUAAGUUCAUCGGUGGCAAUAUUAUAAAAAUAUGUUACCCUGAGGAGGAACGAUGCUUGUCUGAAUUGGGGGAACUGCCGAUGACGUGAUUGAACCUGCCGGGCCAGUUGUUUGCUCACCUACGUCAGUUGAUGUGCCUUCUGCUUGGGGUUCUUCCUGCUGGGGUUCGUCUACUUCUGGUGCUUCUUGCGGAUGAGGGGAAGAUGGUGCUUGCUGGAUCUCUACAUCUAGAGGGGAAGGAGAAGAUUCCACCGGAAUGGGAGAUGCGGGAUGAGGAGGAGUUGCUACUUUCUGGCGCUUUGUUCCGGCCCUGGUUCCCUUGGCGCCUUUCCUCUUUGGCUGGCUGGACUGGGGGGCAUCGGCACCUUGGUUUUUGGCCUUUGCCGAUGCACUGGUUUGCUCUAGUAACAAAAAGGAAUUUAUGAAUACAAAUGUAACCGAUGUAAAGGUGAUCAGAAUAAAUGAAGAGGUUUAACAGUUACCUUAAAAGCCUGUGCUAGAGUGGAAGCAGCUACCGAUGGUGGAGUCUGGGUCCUCCUGGUGGUAACCUUCCUCAGGCGUAUACCUCGAUGCACGAUGGCAGCCAGGGUAGGGGCGUUGUGGCCGAUUGAAGAGAUUGGGCCUGAUGCAAAUAGGUCAAUCGGCUUGCCACUUUUGCUGACCGAUGGAGGAGUAUCAUCAACCUGCAGAAAAGUAUAGAAGUAAAUUGCCGAUAGAAACAAAAUUGAAAGAAUUGAAACAUCGGUUUGAAAACACUUACGGUAUCAUUGGGAACUUCGUACUCAGGGUCAAUCAUACCGCGGUACGUGAGGGCCGAUUUGCAGAACAGAUGCGCCUUCCAUUCUGCCCACCACUGCUUGUAUGCCUGAGUUAUGAAGGCGGCUAGAACCCACUCUGACAAAUCUACGUCUGUAUCGGCACUUGAUGGCAGUUGGGCUACUUGGAUCCAUUCAAGGAGACUGUUGAUAGUUUCCCUGGGCUUUAUCACAUCGGCGUAGCAGAGUGCGAUUGGCAGCUGGCCGAAAGCUAACUGACGGGCUAGUGCCGAUGGGUUGUAAAAUUCAUAAGUCUGGGGGGAGGUUUUCCCACUGUCAAAGAAAUUCACUGGUAUGGCCCUGGGAGUCACUAUUGCCAUCAUCACUUCAUUAUCCCGGUCAAGGGCUUCAUCAAAUGGGUUGAAAACCAGGGGAAGCAUACUGUCUGGGUCAUCAUAGGCCAACCAUGCUCGCUCAUCUCUGGCCAAGCCCUCAUACAGAGUUUGGAAGAAUCGGCUAACCUGAUCUGGAUUACCCCCUGAACCAGGCAGAACUAUGACAGCUUCGCCGAAGUUUAAGGGAGCACGUGUUGCUGAUUCCUCUUCACCCAACACAUAAUUUCUAGAUAUGUCCCUUGGGAAACGCUGUGUGAAUAGGUUAAAUUCAAGGCGCUUGUGCAAAUGCAGAUUAAGCCACAUGUUGAUAAACCACCAGGGGCCUCCCAAGUUGCCGAUAGACUGGCCAAGCAAGAGCUUCUUAGUUACUUAGUGGAGGAGGUGAUAGGUCGCUCCAAGCAAGUAUCGGCCGAGAGGAAAUCGGCCACCAUUGGCCAGGAUUUCUGCUGCUGCUAGAUGAACGGAAGUUGGUCCUGCCGAUCGACCACAGAACACGAAUUUGUCUAACCACAUGUUCAGAAAGCAGGUCUGCUCCUUUAUGUCAACAGAGCCUGUUUUGCGGUAUUUUUGAAUAUACCCUGACCAGCCGCCGAUGGAGCGGGUUUCUACCUUAGCACUAGGUUUGGUAUCAAAGAAGUGGGUGCUAUCGGCAGAAGAAAUAUCUAAUCCAGUGAGCAUAGCCACAUCGGCAAGAGUGGGGGAAACAGGGCCAUGGCCAAAGACAAAGGCGUUGAGUGUGUCUGACCAGAAGUAUGAUGCAGCUAUCAGCAGUGACUCGUUCCUAUGCAUAUCGGCAAUGGACAACCUAAUGCAUUGGGCUAGAUUUCUUUCACCCCAUAGGACUUCAUUUGGAUUGCUGACUCUCAAAAACCAAUCUGUCCACCCCACAGUAGGGCUAGGCCAGGAACGAAAAGUAUCCUUCCACAGAUCCAAAGAAAAAUUCUCUGCUCUAAAAGGGAUCCUGUUGGUUUCUGCGUUUAUAAGGUUGGUUGGAUCUGGAUCCCCUAGUGGGCCAAGGCAUUGGAGGUGUGGUCGAUCAGUGGGGAUGACAAUUUUGUUAGCCGAUUCCUGAUGGUUUCGGAGGUGGAAAAGAAAGAUACAGAAAAAAAAAAGGGGGAGGAAAGAAAAUGUUCAGUAAAAUAGAUCGCGAAUGAACAGGGGUGCCAGAAAAAGUAUCAGAGAUGGUGUGAAGGACUGACCUCAGGGAUGAUGAAGUUGACGGCCAUUUUGCCGCGGAGGAGGUGCUUGAAAGUUUUGAAGUUGGUGUAGAAAGAGCUUCGUCGGAGAUCUCGGAGCUUUUGGAUGGCGCCGCCGCCGGAAAAGUGAGGUUGGAGUUAUGGAAUGAUGUGAUGGGGAAGGAGUACCCGAGAAGGGAGUAUUUAUAGGACAGACAGGCAAGGGCAAAUCUGACUUAUCUCUUUGCCGCAUCCGUGAAAUCCGAGGAUACUCAGGUAGAUAUGGUAACUGUUCGUACGGUAAUCAAGGGAUUGUGCAAGUGAUUUGACAGGAAGCGGUCAUUAUCCAGAGAUAUUUUACUGUGCGGGAUCUCCUGGUCGGUCCAUCGGCAGCAUCCUGUAACGGUCAUAUUGCCGAUGGGCGAAUAAAGUGGAGAUAGCCGUUUGUACGAACGUCCUGACCAGUCCAUCGGCAGAUCUUUGUAACGGUAAUAUUGCCGAUAUGCGGCUAAGAAGGAAAUGCCCGUUUAGAAAGUUGAGGAUUUCGAGGGAUCUGCAAAAGAAUAGGAUCAGAGUUGUUCAGAUUGAGGUUGUCGGUUACCAGAUUAGGAGCAUUAAUUGUGGGAAAAGGCAUCAUUACUGCAGAGAAUUUUGGAGCAUUAAUGAUUUCAUACUCCAAAAUUGGGGGGCAUGUGUUGACACCAUUUUUUGGGCACGUGUCCAGGCCGGCAGGAUGAGACGGCGGUGUUUUGUCUACAGGAUGAGUUGCCGAUGAGGAUGGUUGCCGAUGAAGGAGGGGUUGAACGUGACUAAGUUUAUAGGUGGUGAUGUGUCUGUGCCGAUGGCUAUGACAAGGAAGUCUGCCGAUGACUAUGACAAGGGAAUCUGCCGAUGAUACGAAGGGAGAGUCCGGAAGCUGUCGAUCGGUUCGUGGAAGAGUUUCAGCUUGUCACGGGGGAUAGCUUUAUUAUUUUUUUAGUUAUUUAAAUCAUUUUGUAUACGGAUUCCGUGUAAUUUGGAAUUCGAAUUCUAAUCGUGUCUGGUUGUAGCUCUUUGAGCAGGGUAUAAAUAUAGACCCUAGGACCUUGUAAUGAUCUAUCUAUCAAUCAAUCAAACACACAUUUUUACUCAUGUUCUAGCAUCUACUUUUUCGACGACUUCGUCAUACUUUUUUCUUUUCACUACGAGUUCUUAGGAAUUCGUCGACUUAAGCUCGGCGUGUUCUCAAGUUCCGCGUGAGUACCUCUUAGCCGUGACAUCCGGGCGCAUCGCUGUUGUCAGGACUAAAGUAUUCGAGUUACCACCUUUGCCGAUAGUAAGGUCAAAUCGGCUGGCACGCCUUAACGUUUGAAUCGGGUAUUAGCCCUUUGUGUUUGCAGACCAGCUUUUGCACCAACAAUACCCCUCUAACUAGUGUUUUCAAGGAUAUUAUUUAAUAAAUAAUAAGAAGUAUGAUUGGGCACAAUGUUUAUAGCUGGCAUUCAUUUUCUCUUAAUUAUUAUAUCGUUUCUCUUAAUUUCUAGCUGGCAUUUAGUUGUUACCACCAUGAUUAUGCGAAACAUCAUACAAUGCCCAUUGUUUUGUAGGAAAACUUCAUGUACUUCUUAGUAUCAUAAUGUUUCUCUUAAUUUCUACUAGCAUUUCAGUUCUUACGACCAUAGAUUAUGCAAAACAUCAUACUGCGCCCACUAUUUUGUAAGAAAAGUGCAUGUCCUUAUUAUUAUUAUAUUUUCUCUUAAUUUCUAGCUAGCAUUUCAGUUCUUACCACCAUAGAUUGUGCAAAACAUCAUACAACGCCCAUUGUUUUAUAGGAAAACUGCAUGUACUUCUUAGUAUCAUAAUGUUUCUCUUAAUUUUUAGCUGGCAUUUCAGUUCCUACUACUAUAGAUUAUGCAAAACAUCAUAUUACGCCCACUGUUUUGAAGGAAAAGUGAAUGUACUUCUUAUUAUUAUAUUAUUUAUCUUAAUUUCUAGCUGGAAUUUCAGUUGUUACCACCAUAGAUUAAGCAAAACAUUAUACUACGCCCAUUGUUUUGUAGGAAAAGUGUAUGUACUUCUUAUUAUUAUAUUAUUUCUCUUAAUUUCUAGCUAGCAUUUCAGUUCUUACCACCACAAAUUUUGUAAAACGUCUAUUUGUGCCAGCAAAUUGCUAGCAAAAACUCAUGUACUUCUCACUAUUCUUUUCCUAUAAGUACAACCAUUCCAUUCACCUACAGGCCGCAACAUUAGCACAAAGAACAUAAUAGACUACUGAUUCUACAAUGAAAAGGGAGAUGGUGCCUUCAUGGCUAGAGAUAUUACUCGCAACACAAUUCUUUACUACUUGUGCCAACCAUCUUCUUGCUUGCCGCAAUGAGUGUAACCUGUUUUGCACUCAGUGCGAGGCUACACCAGCUGCUUUCUGCAACUACUGUCGUUCAAUCAAUCAUUCCACUCAUCGUGUAAUCCAGGUAAGAAAUGUGUAGUUGUGUAGUCAAUGGAAAGGCAAAACAUUUCAUAUAUCAUACAUGUCGUACAAUUCAAAACUUUAUGAUUUGGAUGUUUUUUCUCUUGUUGCUUCUUAUGCCACCUCACAAUUAAGAAAUGUUAUAAAACUUUACAUAAAAUGUGUUUUGAUUUGGGUGUAUAAAAAUAGAUUUCAUCCAUAGGCCACAACGACCUUUGAGCAAGAACACAUGUGAUCUAUGAAAACAUGGUAGUAUUUAAGUUUCAAAUAAUUGGAUGUUUCAGAUAAGGCGAUCAUCCUAUCAUGAUGUUGUGAGAGUUUCAGAGAUCGAGGACAUCCUUGAUAUUAGUGAUGUGCAGACUUAUGUAAUCAAUAGUGCAAGGGUGGUAUUCUUGAAUGAGCGCCCACAACUGCGUGCUUCUGGUGUCCCCAUCUGUAAGGCACCUUCGUCAUCAACACAUAGCUGCGAGACAUGCAAUCGUGCUCUACUUGAUGCAUUUCGCUUCUGCUCUCUUGGAUGCAAUGUAAGUUAUCACAAAGUACCUAAGGAUGUUAUUUUCUAAAAAAAUACAAAAUUAGGAAAUAAGUUCCAUAAUUAAUGGAUUUCAUAUAUCUAAUAAAAUCCUUAUCUUUCAUAGCUUAAAGGCUUAAAUAUGGAAAUGAGUACGCCAUCCAUGGUUGAAAACAGUCCUCAAUCCAAUGGUAAGGAUCAUGUCACUAUGAUUGACGAUGUUGGUUCAAGUACUACAAGUGACAAAGACAGCUGCAAUGACAAGAACAAUGAAGAACCACCACCAAAAAGGGUUGCUCGUCACCGACGCAAGGGAAUUCCCCAACGUGCGCCAUUCUUCUAAUGUGAAGCUCAUGACAAUAUCCAUUAAAUGUUGGGGCAAAUAAGAUGAGAGAAUGUAUGUCAUGGGUAGAAUAAAAGAAUUAAUGUAUGAUCCCAAUGCUAUAUAUGGUUGAUUUCUUUAAAUUGUGAGCCUUUCAAAAAGAUUUUACUAGACCAUCUAAUGGUUGUUUCUCUCAAAGCAUGCAAUUGUAUAUGGGAAGCACAUAGUGUAGUCAUAGCCUUUAUCUCUCUUAAGUAGCUCUACCUUUAGAGGUGGUUAAAAUCGGUUUUUAGAGGAGGUUUGAAAAAUGCAACAAUGUCACCGAUUAUAAAAAUAAGUGAUUCCACCUCUAAAAAUCAACCUUUGAUAGAGUGCAGCUGCUAGGAUUUGAACUCACAACCUUUCACUCUGUGCACUCCAUCUCAUACCACUACACCACAUAGUCACUUAUGAUUAGUUACCCAAUGCUUUCUUUUUGUACUAAUAUGUAUCAAUCUUGUAAUCAAUAUUUUAACUUGUAAACAAUCUUAAAUGAGAACUUUCAUCUACAAAGUUUUAGAUCUUGUCGAGCACUACAACUUUCAUAUAUAUAGGACAUUUCUCCAUCCAAGGUCAUUUAAAAAUUUUGAAAAUUUUAAAUUCAAAAUCUAAGACUUGAUUUAUAUAUUUGGAACCCUAAAUGAUCUUAAAUAAAAAUUUUAUAAACUACAAAGUGUUAGUCUAAGGAUGGUCGACUUAGUCAGUGGCCCUUGAAUAUCGAUUUUCAAAGGCAUUUGACUUAGGCCCUGUUGAGUUUCCCACCUAAAAUUUUUUCAUCUAUCCCAUCGAAUCUUUGGACACAUACAUGGAACAUUAAAUAUACAUAAAAAAAUAAACUAAUUACACAGUUUGGUUGAAAAUCGCGAGACGAAUCUUUUAAGCCUAGUUACUUCAUGAUUAGCCUUAAGUGCUACAGUAACCCAUAUAUGCUAAUGAUAGAUUAAUUAUACUUAAUAGAUUUGUCUUGCAGUUUCCUGACGAGCUAUGUAAUUUGUUUUUUUAUUAGUUUUUAAAAACCUCUUCCGACAUCCUUCCGACAUAUCCGAUGUGACAAAAAAAAUUUUUAUCUCCGAUCUAAACAGGUCCGGCGCCAAGGCGGAAAGUCAUGGAGGCCGACUGCUUCAUCCUCUCGUGUCGUUGGCCCACAUGCCACAUCAUGCUCGCUUGCCCGAGAGCUGCGGUGUUAGGCCCUGUUUAGUUCCCUACCCAAAAUUUUUUCAUCCAUCCCAUCGAAUCUUUGGACACAUGCAUAGAACAUUAAAUGUAGAUAAAAAAAUAAACUAAUUAAACAGUUUAGUUAAGAAUCGCGAGACGAAUCUUUUAAGCCUAGUUACUCUAUGAUUAGCCUUAAGUGCUACAGUAACCCACAUAUGCUAAUGACAGAUUAAUUAUGCUUAAUAAAUUUGUCUUGCAGUUUCCUGACGAGCUAUGUAAUUUAUUUUUUUAUUAGUUUCUAAAAACCCCUCCCGACAUCCUUCCGACACAUCCGAUGUGACACCCAAAAAAUUUUCGUUCCCAAUCUAAACAGGCCCUUAGCACCGGUUACCUGCUCCGGCUGCCUGCUGUGCUCACUCGUCCUAGCCGGUUGGCUGACUAGGCGCUGUAUAUGCACAACCGGCCCGUUACCCUUCACGUCAAGAACUGCCUAUAUGCUCCGCGGCUUGGUGUCCAUGCAUGGACGGAUUUUUUUUUUUUUUUUUGACGAUUAUGCAUGGACGGAUGGACCAUGGCAGCUUCUUGCUCGCUUGCGUCAAUUGAGGUUUGGUCAUUAGCCACUUCUUUCGUUUCUCAAAGAUUUGGACCUUGUUUAGUUCACCUAAAAACCAAAAAAAUUUCAAUAUUUUCCGUCACAUCGAAUCUUGUGGCACAUGCAUGAAGCAUUAUAUAUAAACUAAAAUAAAAACUAAUUACGUAGUUUGCCUGUAAAUCGUGAGACGAAUCAUUUAACUCUAAUUAAUUUAUGAUUAGAUAAUAUUUAUCACAAAUAAAUAAAAUGUAAAAUAGCAAAAUCUAAAAAAUUUUCACAUCUAAACGAGACCUUGCAGAUGCAGGUCUGGGCUCGCACGUCGACAGGUCCUGCCGGCCUGCUGUCGCUAGCACACGCCACGCUGCCCACACUACUGCUGCCAAAAUAGCAGCACAUCUUUGUGAAUGAGGGGUAUAAACGUCUUUUUACAUUGGAGAUAACUGUUGUUUCAGUACCUAUAGACGGCAGUGCUACUCAUGAAAAGUAAAAAUAAAUUUGAUGGCACUCAUAUCUAAACUAUUUAUUCGUCGGUGGCUUUACCGGUAUUGCUGAAACAUUUAAUGGCACACACAGAAUUUUCUCAUUGAUAUAAGCAACGUCCUUGGAAAUAGCAUUUUUACAGGCAAUUCUCUUCACGAAAUCACCUCUAAAAAUGGAGAUUUUUUUAGAGAUGUAGUAUUUCUUAAUAGAAUCGUCUCUAAAAAUAGAUCUUCAGCGACGAUCACAGAGCUACAAUGCUCCUCAGUGAUGUUAGAGAUGGCGUGCUAGUUGGUUGAUCAUUGCACUUGGUUGAUCAUGUAGUGUCGCGAUCCAUCAUUGCACUUGGUUGAUCAUUAGCAUCAUGUGCAUAAUCAUAAUCCAAAAUAGAUAUUACAAAACUACUCGAGUUAUAGAUGUAUAUUCUGGCUAUGUGUAUGGAUGGACAAUACAUACAGACCUACAAGGCACUCUGGUAGCUAGGUCAGUUCAAGUCACUCAGAUUGAAAGAUCCUAUCAGGACAGGUUGUCUAUCAGAAUAAUGUGAAAAUGCAAGAAGAUUUGUUGUAAUGUACGUCCAUAGGAAGCAACAAUAGAAACACGUGACAUAUUUGCAGAAAUAAAAAUUUUAGACGUGAUAAAAAGGAAUGUUGUCACCAGGGUGGGUGAACCCUCAUAGAUAUCAGGUGACAACAUAUAUAGAAUCAAAAGAGAGAUUGAGUUCGAGGGAGAGGGGGAUUUUCUUGGGGCUCUAGAGAUUGAAUAAAUAGGGCCCCAUAAGUUGGUUAACUCGCCACUGGAGAGUUCACACAAAAGGGACUUAUUCUCAACAGAUAAAAGCGUUGUGCGUGAACCCUUCUUCACUGCCCAUGUGACAGGCAAAUGUAGCACAUUCUAUGUGACUUGGAACCUGAGAUGCCUACUUGACUCACCCUUGCUCUACACUCUUAACCUUAUCAUAACAAUCAUGAGCAUCAUGUAUAGGAGUUGAGGAACCCAAGGAGGUGACUCUCAAAACUAGGGAUGAAAACGGAUCGGAUACGGACGGAUAUCAUCGAUACCACAUUUGUUUUCAUAUUUCUAGUCAAAUUUGGAUUCGAAUACGGAUAAUAUCAACCCUAUCAGAUAAGAUAUGAUUGGAUGUCGACAUCAUAAAUAUACAAUUUAAGUAUUCGGAUACGGAUACGGUAUCGGAUGUUGAAUAUUCGGACUCGAAUACGGACAGAACUAAACCCCUCUAAAUGAAUUCGGUCUCGAAUACGGUCGGAAAAUAUCUUUACCAUUUUCAUCCCUACUCAAGACCAAUGUUGACUUGUUCCUAAAAAACACCAAGCUCAAGACAAGCCCCUAAGCAUAUCACUAGUACAGAAAAGAUUUUUAGAGAUGUCUCCCUUUUCUAUCAUAGACGUUAAACAAGCAUGCCGUGUCUAAUGUUGUUGGGAAGCACUGUAGCUCAUGAUUGUCGCUAAAGAUCCAUUUUCAGGGGCAGUUCCAUUAAGAAAUUCACCUCUAAAAAUGUAUCGAUUUUUAGGGGUGAUUCCUUUAAUAGAACCGUCUCUAAAAAUGCUAUUUUCAAGGACAAUUGCUUAUGUAAACUAUCUUUGAAAAUAAGUGAUUUUUAGAGAUGGUUUUAUUAAGUCAACCACCUAUGAAAAUUAAUUGUUAAGGGUGGUUGACUAAGUCAACCAUCCUUAAAAACAGUGGCAGCACAAAUAAAUUCAUAAAUAUUUUAGUAAAGUUGGAUGAAGAAAAAAUUAUAUCAAAAUAUAGAGCACGAUGAGAUCUAAAACUUUGUAGUUGAUAAAUUUUUUGUUCGGGAUCAUUUAAGGUUACAAAUGUAUAAAUUAAGUCUUAGUUUUAAAAUUUUGAAUUUUUUAAAUGACCUUGGAUGGAAAAAAUGUCCUAUAUGAAAGUUCUUGUUCUCGACGAGAUCUAAAACUUUACAGUUAAAAGUUUUCUCAUUUAUGAUUGUUUUUUAGUUAAAAUAUUAGUUAGAUGAUUCACACAUAUUAAUACAAAUAGACAUCAUCGUAGAACUAAACACAAGUAAUUGUAUGGUGUGGUGGCAAGGGAUGAGUUGCACAAGGAAGAGAUUGUGGGUUCAAAUAGUGGUGUCUGCACUUAAUCAAAACAAGCAAAAAAUAUAUCUUGUGAGCUAUGGCCAGUCUUUAGCCUGUUGGGCUACAUUUAAAAGCUUUUUUCUUAUUUUUAUUAGACUCUAAAUGAUUUUUUAAAAAAUCUGAAAAUUAUUUUUAGGGAAGAUUAACUUAAGUCAACCUAAUGAAAAUCUCUUAUUUUUAGAAUUGGUGGCAUUCUAACAAUUUUUCAAACCACCUCUGAAAACUGAUUUUAACUACCUCUAAGAAUCUUUUCUGUACUAGUGUAUAUUUCUCUUUUAUAAUGGAAUAACUUGAUAUGUGCUAGCUAUUGCAUCCUAUGUAUAUACUAUCACUAGAAUCAAAUAAGAACAUAGUUGAGCUUUUACCUUGAUGAUUAAGAUCAUAUACCUUGCAAGAUUGCUCGUUUGCCUUCCUAGUAUGUGUUCAAUGCUUGCUUACUUAGAUGUGAUUGAAGUCAGACUCAUGAUGCGUUUCUCAUGGUUCACACAACAUAUGAGCAAGCCCACACGGGUGUUGAUGCGACUACCGAAGUGAGGGUGGGCCCCUAUAUGAGCACUGCUAGAGAAGUGUGCUACUAGGGAGAAGUGUUUUUUCUAAGAGAAAGAGAGAAGUGAGUGAUGAGGAGGUGUUGUCAAUAUAUAUGAUAAUUAUGGGUAGGGCUUGGCUCAACAUAUUUUUUUGGAUACAGGCCUCUAUGAAGCCCACCUCAGCAAAUGCCUCUCAUUUUUAGAGGUGGGCCUCUUUCCAUCUCUGUUAAUUGAUUUUAGGAGACAUUAUCUUUUUUCGAGAAUGUAGGCGUAUUUUUUGGGUGUCUCCAUAAGUUAGACAUCGGCCUGCAAGAAUUGUUAUCUAUUUUUUUGAGACACUCACAUUUUUUGUUUGCGUCCAUUAAUUCAAAUGGUUGUUUCUUUAGAAUCAUUUUUUGGUACGGUAGGAUUUGAGAAUCUCAUUUAUGCUUCUAGAAUAUUCCUUAUCAACUAUAGUAAAUUUUAACGUUGUGUACAAGUGCUUGGUUUGGCAAUUGAUGACUGUAUUUCUAUCUAGUCUAGUAAAUAAAAGGAAGAGACUCUCUAUAUUCUUCCUAAAUGCUAGGAAAAGAGAUUUUGAUGAAAAAUUACCCUCCAACAGCUUUUUCUAAAUGGUCAUCCAAAUAUAGCCAUUAUCUAUUCCGGAUUUUUUGUUAGCUAAAUAUAGAAGACAAGAAUAAUUCUCUAGAGUGCGCAUGAGAUUUAGCAAAACUGUUGGAGAGUAAAAAGAUAUAGAAAGCGAUUUUUAUGCAAAUGAUUCUCCAAAUGAUGAUUUAGAGAAUGAGAUUUAGAAAGGCUCUUGGAGAUACACUUAUAUAUAGGAAAAAUAAAGUUCAAAGCUAAAGUUAUCUCUAUUGCUACGACACUAACUAAACCUGGACAGAAAUGGUGAAGGAGCAAGUAGGAGGAACAGGGUGAGAUUUGGGUCUAGCGCCAUGACGCUAUGCCUGGCCUAAAAAAAAAAAUCCAAAUAUCACUUUAAUAAUUUUGGCCGAAUUCUAUCUUGUCCUAGACAUGGCCCAAAUGCAUUCUUCUCCGAGCCCAACAAACUUCUGCGUGCCAGCGAGGCCGAAUGGAGCAGCAGUGCCCAUGGCCGGAGGAGAGAACAAAAGACCAGCAUGAAUCUUGCAGCAGCCUCUUUGUAGGCUUGCAACAAGCUCAAUCCCCUCCUUUCUCUAUUUCAAUCCUGAACUCCCUGAUCUUACAAGAAGAUAAUGGACUCUAUUUGAGCUACAGUCUCAUUCACCGCCCCUAAAUCGGUCACUGAACUAAAUUAAAUAAAAAAAAACCCUCAAACUUAUAGCGGAAAACAUACACAUCACCUCAAUUUUUAAAACUAGACAAAAUAUUCCUCUUAACCAUUCCAAAGUGAAUUCUCACGUGGUUUUGCUGUCGUGGCAGUUGGACCAAUUCUCGUCUCUCUGUCUCUAUGUAAAAAAAAAAGGUAUACAUUUUUCAUAUGAAGUCAUAUGAAUACAAACUUUAUAUUAAAGUUGUAGAGCUUGAUACAGUCUACAACUUUGUUGUUGAUAUUUUUUAUCUAAUAUAUUUUAGAGGCUCAAAUAUUCAUUUUAAGUCACAAUAGUUUGUAAUUCAGUUUUCCUUCAUAUGAACUCCGAUACAUGUUGAUAGUUUAGAUAAGUUGUAAUUCGCAGUAAAACUAUACCUUUAUAGUUGACAUUCUUUUUAUUUGACAUCAUUUAGAGACCUCAAUAUUCAUUUUAUGUUCUCUGACGUUGACGGGAUGCUGACCUUGGAAUUUUUUUUCUUUUCUGAAAUUCAGCUACUAGAUCGGUUUGUGCCGCUUAAUUUGUUGGCUCAUCUUGUGCCUCGAGCAUUUGUCUGUCAUGCUCAGCGCAACAGCAAACCCUGAACCGUCCAUAUUUCACCAUCAUUCGUGACCAUUCCUUUCAACGACGACAAGCAGAGCAGACGAACAACCAUUUAUUUCAAUUCUUCUCAACAAAUAUACAUAUAUACAUGUCCUCACUUUGAGCAGCCUCUCAAACCUUAUCUCUCUCUCGCCUGCCACGAGACGAGGAAAACGUUGGCAUGUGAGCGCCACGCACGUACACCUCCGCCGUACCCAUGCAGCCUCCCGUCACGCCGCCGGCAGCCACCGGAGCAGCAGCAGCAGCAGCACCUUCUCCGCCACCAGCCAUCGUCUCCUCCCAGUCGUCACCAUCGCCAUUAUCAAUCCCAUCGGCAAAGACAGGGAGGCGGCAGCUGCUGCUGGUGUCAUCGGGCCUGCUCCUCGCCGCCGGCGCGCGUGCUGCGGUUGCUGGUGCAGGAGAGGAGGGAGGAGCUUUGGCAGUGUACAAUAAUGGCCCGCCGCCGCCGCCGCCGGUGGUGACGGAGGCGGAGCGCGCGGCGAGCGCGGCAGUGUCGCGGCGCGUGGGCGAGGCCGUGGGGCUGCUGGAGCUGGGGCGGGAGCUGCAGGCGCGCGGGGAGUUCCCGCAGGCGCUGGCGUCGUUCACGCGCGUGGUGCGGGAGUACGCGGACCUGGCGCUGUCGGAGUACGCGCGGGUGGGGCGGGCGCUGGUGCUGUACGAGAUCGGCGACCGCGACCAGUCCAUCGCCGAGAUGGAGGACGUCUCCAUCGCGCUCAAGGGAUACCCAGGUCGAGCGUCUAUUUGCAUGUUGUCAGCUCGUCGAUCAGGUAACUGACGGAGAUUAGGUUUAUUUUGCAGAGAUCCACGCGGCGCUGGCGGCGGCGCUGUACGCGGACAAGCACGCGGCGCUGCUGGCGGAGAACCAGUUCGCCAUCGCGACGCUGCUGGACCCGCACUACACGGACCUCGCCUACGUCAGGGACACCAAGCACUGGCCGCCCAGCCUCGUUGCAUCACUCCACCACUUCAUCACACUCUCCUAGUAGCUAUUACUUGUAUUGUAUAUAUACUUAGACUAUCUCCAACAAUCAUCACCCAAAAUACAAGACCCAUUUAUCCUUUGGGUAGCGCUACAGGUAAAAGAUUCCAUACCUAUUUUUAGUCUUCUCCAGCAACGAGACCUAAAAGAAAACACUCUCUGCAAAUGGGUCUCGAGGAGAGAGAAUACCCAAAUUUGGGUUAUGCCUCUCCUGAUACCUAAAAUGGGUUUUCUGUAUGGGUACUCUGUUGGAGGCUAUAGGUAUUGUGUUGGAGACCCAUUUUGGGUUUGAGUUCCCAAAUGGGUCUCCUAUUGGAGACAGCCUAUUGUAUAAUUUAGCUAUUAACCACGUAUAAGGUUCUCAUCAAUUAAUAUCUCUGAAGAAAAGUUAGAGCUCCUAGCAAGAACUUUCAGGUGUUCAAAGGGCUUCACCUAUUUGGGUCUGCCUCUUAGAAUCACCAGGCCAAGAGUUCAGCAGAAUUUUUUACCCUUGGUAAACAAAUGUGAGAGAAGGGUGGUGAGUGUUUUCUCAUUUCUGUCCAAGGCCGAGAGAUUGGAGAUCACAAAUGCAGCUUUUUCGUCUUUGUCAAACUUUUACUCGAGCCAAGUGCCCCAGGGGCGUCGAGUGACCCACAAAGGGGUCGGCGGACCCUAGCCUUGCCACCAAGGCGUCCCCACUUUGAUCCAAGGUCCCUGGCUCCAUGCAGACGUCUCACCAAACCAGCGUCUCAGGCGACAAUGCCUAACAUGGCCCACAAUGGGCCAAUUGGGGCUCAAGGCGAAGGGCACAGAGGUGCGCGUCUAUAACAGGGUGGAGAUCCCUGACUUCUUGCCCCUCAACAAGGAUCAGGGCGAGUUACAACACGCCCCCAUCACCAAGUCAGGCAAUGUGUCAAGUGCAGAGUAAAAAACAACUCCUACACGCUGUCGAUGACGACUUCGAUGAAGAACCGCGCGCAAGAUCGCAGGUGGUGGUCCGGGGCAUGGCAAGGUGUUCAUACACCCAAUCACAUCCGAUGAGCGGAAGGCACUACGAGAGUCACUGGAGUCCGUGAGCUCCCCCAAGACGGUCAGCGGUCGUGUAAUCCACCAUCGAUCAACAGACCAUAAGGGCACUUUGAAGACUAAGAUCGUCGCACCAAGAAGAAUGAUGUAGAGAGGCUCCUUCGUGUAGUUGCUACACUUUGGAACAACAAUAGGGUGCUAGAGGAGCGGGUAGUGGAGUUGAGGAUGGCUCACUUCUAUAUAGAUGACAACUUCCACACCCUUCGCAUUAGCAAUUUAGAACCCCAUGUGAGGAUGAAGCACCUCGCAAAGGUCAUAGGGAUAGAGGACCUCCCCUCUCCACCCCCUUCAUAGGCACGUCAUGGCCUUUCAAAAUAACUUAGACAUUUAGGCUUAUUUUGUUUUAUUUAUUUCUUCAUCAUCUAUGUAACUUGUGCCUAUGUUAAAAAAUGAAUGAAAUGUUAUGUGUUAUUGGUGUUUUCCCACAAAUAGAGCUCUACACUUGAUGUCUCUUAGUUUCCAGAACACUAUAGAAGCCAAGUGUGGGGGUCGGUCAACUCCCAACUUGACCUGCUGAAUUUUCUGAACCUACUAUAGCAAAAGGUUGGACGUGAAAUUUGGGCCUCAACGGCUAUAUUUGGGUGUCAUGCGAUGGCCCAAAGAGCACAUAAAUGAAAUAGUGUCAGUGCAGGAAUAUGUUUUGGAGGUAAGAACACAUAUGACAGGCACCGAAGUGACUAGAGGCUCCAAGGUGGGGUCGUCCAACCCCACGAUAGACCCCUAGGCCCACCAAUCAGCAUCCACCUUGACUGGUUUGCCACGUCUCCUCUCUCUUUUAAUUCCCUUCUAAAAUAAAAUAAAAAUAAAACAAGAAGAGCCACAUCUAAAAAUAAAAUUUGAAAAAAGUGACAUGAUUUAUGAUAAUUUGAAAGAUAGAAGCGUCAUAAAGUUAUUUCGUGCAUCUGCUUAUGCUUGUGGGAAUAAAAGUCUUAUCACCAAAGUGCAAGAUCUAGAGAAAACCAAAACUUUUGCACUAGAAAAUGGUACAACCAACAAUAAAUCAAUGUUGUGAAGCACUAACUAUGUGAGAAUACCCAAAUGGCCGAAUCCAUAGCACACAGAUGAUGCCCAUCCGAGAGAUUGCUCUUAUUUGACAACUCACUGCUUGCAUAGAUAUUGCAAGAACAGCCUUGUCCCAUGUCUUACAAGCCAAACAUACCAAGAUUCAACGAACAAGCUUGUAACACCCUUGGUGUGUUAAGAAUAUGUAUUUCAUGACCAUUAUCCAUUACUAUGCAUCACUUUGUGAUCUUGCAUUGGAAGCAAUAUUAAGAGAUACAAUAAAUCGGCCACAUCAGCAGCAAUAUUACUAAUCAUAUGACUAUGUGAUGUGAUCUUUCAUUUAAAAGAAUAUUAUGAGAUAGAACGAAUGGGCCACAUCAAAACCAGCUCCCCUCGCCACCACUAGGUCACACCUUUCAGACCUAGUUGACGAUAAAGCAUAUACCAUUAACCAGGCCUACAUGAUACUACCACCAUCCACUGGUUCCACUCUACCCCUGCCACGUGUCGCACCUAGGUCCUCUAUUUCUAUUUUCCAAAAGAGUUAAACGCGUCGGUUGCUCUCGAAAUUUAUAAGGAUAUGUCAUUUAGGUUCACAAACUUUAAAAUUUUCUUUCUAGGUCCCAAAACUUGUUAAAGUGUCACGCCACAAGUCCAUACUAGCCACGUGAGCAUCUUUUUUUACUAAUGUGGCAUUACCAACGUGGCAUGUAUUUUUACAUUUAACACCUCAUCAUACCUCCUCGAAGAACUCUGAGAGGUCAUGCGCACCAGCGCACCAUGACACGCAUGACCCUGCAUCAAGCGAGCACCAGUGGCGAUCGCACGUCCAUGGGCACAAGAUCACGGUGUGCCUCCGCAGCCUGUGCAACCCCAAGAUCAUGGUGCUCUAUAUGCACCUGGGUCUCCUACAUCAGGUCACCGCUAAUGUCACUUAGAACUCAAGGAAGAAAGAGGAGAGGAGGGAAGAUGAGGAGUUAAUUAUAAAAAUAUGGCCCUGUUUGGAUACUCUAACUAAGUUAGAUGUUAGAGUUAUUCUCUAGCUCAUGACUCGCCCUCAACUAACUCUAACCAAAGAGGUGUUUGGAUGCAAGGGUUAGAUUGACAAUAAAUGUACUUUCCCAUUCAUUUGGCUCCUUCCUAGCUAGAUUUGGUGUGGUCGGCUGUUGUGUGGCCUCCUCCCGCUCACAAAUGACAUUGCUCCACAUAGUAACUUGCAUGUCGUUUUGCCAUUGCUAGCGGCGGGCCAUUUUGCCAUUGCUCCAUAUGGUACAUUGCGGGCUGUUUUGCCAUUGUUGGGAGGCGGCGACACGGUUGGGAGGCGGCGACGCAGCUUGGAGGUGGCGGCGCGGUUGAGAGGCGACGGCGAGGCGAGCUGGGAGGAGGCAGUGCUAGUAACCGGGCGGGGUCGUGGCUGGGAGGCAUCGCGAGUAGGAAUCCCGUGUGACACAGCCGAUCCCUUUUCCUGUGGGCCCCGCCUCAAAUAGCCCCAAAUAACCCAAAUAAGCACCUCUUUGGGGGAUAGUUUUUUGGUGGGUUAGAUGCAAAUAACCUCAAUCUAACCCUCAUGUUUGGAUAUUUUAGGGCUAUUUGAGUUUCAAAUAACUAAAUCUAACUCUAACCCAUGAUCCAAACAGGGCAUAGUCCAUGUUGACAAGCCAUAUGAGCAACAAAAACAUCCGCAUGACUAGCAUUGAUAUGCGGUACACCACUUGUCCACUUAACAUGUUUAGAGGGACCCGAAAAUAUAUUUUCAAAGUUGGUAGACCAAAGUGACACAUCUUACAAGUUUGAGGGCUGCUGAACAUUUAGCUCUUUCCAAAAAAUCUUCAAACCAUCUUUAAUCUUUGAAAGGUAAUUAGGUGUACUUAUAAAACAGUAUGAAACUUGCAGUACCAAUAUUUUUCUAGAUGUUGAAAUAUUUUUUGGUGCAAUUUUUGGUUUUAUUUGGAUCUAUUUUUUUUAGGUUUCUAUUGAAUUUUAUUCUCAGCUAUUCUCGAAAUUCAUUUCCGUAAACUUUAUGUUGUGUCCGAGUAGACUCCGCGAUACUCGACCCUGCUAAUCGACUACACCUAUGUAGAGAGCCUUACUUGCCUUUGAAAGUUUUUUUUUUACUCUGAUCACCCCUAGCCCACUUGCUUGUACUCCCUCCGUCCCACAAAUAAUUGUAUUUUUGGACUUCUAUGAUUUAUGUUUGACCGUUCGUCUUAUUAAAAAAAAUUUAACAAAUAUUAUUUAUUUAUUCAUGACUUAUUUUAUUGUUAGAUAUAUUUUUAUAAUGAUUUAUUUAUUUUAUUAUUUGUACAAAAUUUUAAAUAAGACGAAUGGUAAAAUAUGAAUCGUAGCAGUCAAAGAAAUAUAUUUAUUUAUAGGACCGAGGGAGUAUAUUACUAUAACCAUAUACUUUAUAGAUGUGCCCCGAGGUGAACCCGCUUUAGGCCUUGUUUAGUUCAAAAAAAAUUUAGGAAAUCGACACUGUAGCACUUUCGUUUGUAUUUGACAAAUAUUGUCUAAUCAUAGACUAACUAAGCUCAAAAGAUUCGUCUCGUCAAUUUCGACCAAAUUGUGCAAUUAGUUUUUAUUUUCGUCUAUAUUUAAUACGUCAUGUAUAUGUCUAUAUUUAAUACGUCAUGUAUAUGUCUGAAAAAUUUUGCAAAAAUUGUUGGAAACUAAACAAGGCCUUAGGCCAUAUAGGCCCAGGAGGCCAGAACUAUAACUUGGAUUUUGGACCAAAUUAUUAGUAACGUUAGAUUUGAAUGUCUCAACUAAAAAAAGUUCAAUAUUUUUAAGCACUUGUCUCCGGAACAUCCCUCAUCCGCUUGCCUGAUGCUCACUGCUUGCACUCUAUCCUCGCUGGAUUCAAAUUACGUUUUGGAUUAUACCAUACUAAAUACUCUCUGCAUUCUAAAUUAUAAUUCAUUUGACUUUUCUGACUUCAAAUUUGACCACUCAGUUUAUUAAAAAAAUAUGCAAAUAUAGUCAAAUUUAAGUCAUUCUCAGAGAAAUUUAUUAAUAAAACAAGCCACAACAAAAGAAGUGAUAUUUUGUACAAUUUUCUAAAUAAGACGAGUGGUCAAACUUGGGAGAUAGUACAAAAUAUUUUGCUAGGCACAUCCUAAAUUCCAGUCUACCACUCUUUGUGUGCCAUCGAUAUGUACAGGGGCGGAGCUAGGAUUUGAACAUAGGAGGGCCGUGCAAACCAAGAACAAUCAUGUGUAUCAAAAUAUUACAUGAUAAAGUUGUACAUAGCACCAAAAUAAACGUUUGCAUUGCAAUGAAAAAAAGCAGAAAAACUAAAAAAAAUAAAAGAGAAAUUUAACUAGUCUCAGGCCUCUAACCUUUACCUGAUCAUUCUAUUUCUUUGCCUAGGAAAAGAAUCACAAUAAAAACAAGUAGUUAAACAGGGGCAAAAUUAAUUAGUACUAGAUCCUAACAUCAAAUGACAAACAAUCAGUUACAUAUCAUUUAGUCUUAGACAAAACGAUCACUUAAACAAGUAAAAUGGUCAUUUAAAUAGAAGGUUAAACAGAAACACCAUACUGAAAGAGCAUCUAGGCCUCUAGUGAUUUCGGUGAUUAAUGACAUUGAUGAUUACUAUGACUAACGUGUGUUUUGCAGAGGCAAAGUCAUAGGUAAGGUCAUGGUAAAUAGGUACUCGAUGGACAGGGACGUACAUGCCUACUUAAUAGUGGAAAUCGUUUCGGUUUUCAAAGGAUGGAUGAACAUCGUCAAGACUAGACUAGGUCUAAGUGCUAUGGUGAAGAAGGGCACUUAGAGUAGUUUAGGUCUUUGUUUUCCUUUGACCGUACUAUUAAGAGGGGCUUUGAUCUAGUAGCUUGACUUAGGCAAGGCUUUAGGUUUAGGUGUGGUGCACACUUGGUAAACCUAGCACUAGGCAGCUCAGAGGUAGUCCUUAGAUCGAGAGAAACCAACUUCGUUUUGGAGCGAUCGCGUUUCGACGAAGUUUGGGUGCCCAAAGGGGCACCGGACGCUCUGUGAGUGCGUCUGGUGAGGUCCAUAGCCGUUGGAACAGUGUCGUGCCUAGGGUUAGGCACCGGACGCUAGCACCGGACGCACCGGGUAGCGUCCGGUCCCAUACCCAGGGAGGUUGCAAGCCUUCCCCGAGCACCGGACGCAACGGGUAGCGUCCGGUCCCAUGCGCAGGGAGCUUGUAAAGUGUCCCCGAGCACCGGACGGUGCACCGGACGCUGUGGAGUUAGCGUCCGGUGCCGUGUCAGAAGCAAGUACAGUUAGCCGUUAUGGUGCACCGGACGCUCGGUGCAGUGCGUCCGGUGCAACAUAAUGUGCGUCCGGUGACCCCAUUUUCAGUGGAAAACGGUUGGCCGACCUUUGGACUUCGUGGAUACUAUUUAUACUCCUCCACCUCGUCCAUGAGAGGUCUCUUGCCCAUUUGAACAUCAGAGAAACCUGUUGUGGAGCAAGAGAGUAGCAAGAGCCUAGAGAGGAUUGAAGUUUGAGUAAUUUCUUGAGAAAAUCCUUCUCUAGUGAGUUCCAAGAGUCAAGUGUGCAUCCACCACUCUCUAGAGCCUUGUUUGGGUCAAGUGAGAGUUCUUUGCUUGUUACUCUUGGUGAUCGCCAUCACCUAGACGGUUCGGUGGUGAUUGGAGGCACGAAGACCGCCCAGAGUUCCUGUCGGUGGCUCGUGUCAAGCUUGUGAGCGGUUUUGGGCGAUUCACCGCGACGGAGUGUCAAAGAAUCAGCUCGUAGAGAGCACUUGGUCCUUGCGCGGACCAAGGGGGAGCAAGACCUUUGCGCGGGUGCUCCAACGAGGACUAGUGGAGAGUGGCGACUCUCCGAUACCUCGGCAAAACAUCGCCGAGCACUUUCUUCCACUACUCCUUUACAUUCUAGCAUUUACUUUGUGUUUUUACAUUCUUAGAAUUGCCAUGCUAGAAUAGGAUUGGAACUAGGUUGCAAAACUUUUAUCCGGUAGCUCUCUAGGUCACACUAGGCACAAGGGGUUGAAUUGGAGCUUAUAGGUUGCUUAAAUUUUAAGAGAAGCCCAAUUCACCCCCCCUCUUGGGCAUCUUGAUCCUUUCAAUUGGUAUCGGAGCCUAGUGCUCAUUAUUUAGGCUUCACCGCCUAGAGAAAUAUGUCUAACGAGGAUGGACCGCCACCCAUGUUCGAUGGGGAUGACUUCCUGUAUUGGAAGAUACGGAUGGAGUCAUACCUUGAGGCAUGCGAUGUAAAGUGCCUAAAAGCCACGACCGAAGGGUUUACCCCUCCGGCAAAAGACGCCGCUCUUACUCCACAAGAGCAAGAAAACGAGAAGUGGAAUGCGAAGGCCAAAAACCACAUUUUUAGAGGCCUUUGCAAAGAGGUGUUCAACCACGUUCGGAGCCACAAAACCGCCCAUGAACUUUGGAAGGAGCUUUGUGCGCUCCAUGAGGGAUCAAAGAGUGAACGCGAGAAACGCUAUCACUUAGUGAUGAACAAGCUUAAUACAUUUGAAAUGCUUCCCAAAGAAAAUGCUAAUGAAAUGUAUUCUCGCUUGAAUGUCAUUGUAGAGGAGCUAAAUGGACUUGGGCUCACUCAAAUGAGUGCGGCGGAUGUAGCAAGGAAGAUACUAUGUGUGCUCCCCAUUGAGAAAUAUGGGCACAUAGUAACGGUACUCCAUCAAGGGGAUCUUUCCACCGCUACACCAACCGCUAUAUUGGGGAAGAUCAAUGCUCAUGAGAUGUACAUGCACAUGAACCCCCAAGAUGGCUCCUCAUCGGCCAAGAAGUAGAAGAAGGACUUGGCUCUCAAGGCUUCUCACAAGGGCAAGGCCAAGAAAAUUGAAGUUGAGUCAUCAACUUCAAGUGAUGAUGAUGCAUCUAUUGCCCUCUUGGUGAGAACCACCAAGAUGUUGAAGAAGCUCAACAAGAAUGGAGUCAACUUUGACUCCAAGAAGAAGAAGUUCUUCACAAGUAGCAAGAGAAAGCCCAUCUCCGAGAUGGAUUGCUACAAUUGUGGUGAACUUGGCCAUCUUGCUCACCAAUGUCCAAAGCCCAAGAAGGAAAAAUACAAGAAGAAGAACAAAGAGCAAGAUGACUCAAGUGAUGAUGACAAGAAUGAGAAGAAGCAAUAUAAGAAGAAAGGUGGCAAUAAGAAGGAGCACUACAAGAAGAAAAAUGGCAAGGCUUACAUUGUUGGUGAUUGGCUCACCGACAUUGAGAGCUCAAGUGGUGAAUCUUCCGGCAAUGAAAGUGAUGAUGAAAAGGUUGCCGCCAUUGCCAUCGAUGCUCCAUCACCAUCAUCUUCACCACCAUCUACAUCCUCUACACACCUAUGCCUCAUGGCUAAGGGUGACCGGAAGGUACAAAGUGAGGAUGAGAGUAGUGAUAGUGAUAGUGAAUACGAAUCACCUACUUGUAAAAUUGGUUAACAAGUACACAAAAGUCAUAAGAAAAACUAGAAGUGAAAAUGAAAAGCUUGAACUUGAAAAUGAAACACUUCUAGCAAAGCUUAAGUCUAGUGAUGAGCUUAGAGACCAAAAUGAGAUCAUGACUACUAAGCUCAAGGAGCUCAAACUCUCUCUAAAAGAGCUCAAAGAAAAACAUGAUAAACUUGAGAGUGUUCAUGAUGAGCUUAUCACUAGAUAUAGAGCAAUGAAAGAAGAGCUAACAACUCUAAAAGCAAACUAUGACAACCUUGAAAUUGCUUAUGAGCUUGCAAUUGAUGAAACACAUGUUGCUACUAACAAUGUUGCUAAGCUUGAUGUAGCCACAUCUUGUGAUGACUUACUUGUGGAGAGCACAAGCAAAUGUGUUGAUUGCAAGGGCAAGAAAGUGGUAGUGGCCGAGAAUUAUGAGGACACUAUCAAGCUCAAGGAAGAAAUUGCCAUGCUCAAGAAAGAGUUGCAAGAACAAGCCAAGCACAAGACCAUUGUGAUUGAGUCACUUGAUCAAGACAAGAAGCUUGCAUAUGAGAACAAGUUGCUCAAGGAAGAAAAUCAAUAUCUCAAGCUUGGUUUAAUGUAUGACAAGCAAGAAGAAGAUGAGACAUUCAUCUUGGAUGAGUUAGCUAGCAACAAUGACCCAAUCAUCAAGAAGCUAACUCAAGAGAAUAACAAGCUCAAGAAAGAGAAGGAACAUCUAACCAUGGGGUUAGCCAAGUUCACUAAAGGGAAAGACCUUCAAAGUGAGCUUUUCAUGAACACCGUCAUGAAGAUGGACAAGAGUGGGAUUGGCUACAAGGCUCAUCAAACAAAGCUCAUCAAGUCUCUAGCCACUCAUGAUCAACCAAGUAAGCCAAAGCCAAAGAAAUGCUUUGAAUGUGGUCAAGAAGGACACUUUGCUCAUGAGUGUAAGGCACCACUACCACCACCCUUGCCCAAGCAUGCAAGACCAUUUGCUUUCAAUGCUCACUACAUUGUAAGGAAAGACAAGAGUGGCAAGGUCAAGGUUAGCUUCAUGGGGCCGCCCAACAAGCAAAGGCCAAAGAAGAUUUGGGUGCCAAAGCAACUAGUAGAGAAGGUCAAGGGCCCUAAGCAAAUGUGGGUCCCUAAAUCUCAAGCUUGAUCUCUUGUGUGUAGGUGAACUACAAGACCGGUGGAUCACAUUGGGUAAUUGAUAGUGGUUGCACUCAACAUAUGACCGGAGAUCCCCGGAUGUUCACCUCUUUUGAUGAAGAUGUUGACAACCAAGAGAAGAUCACAUUUGGUGACAAUUCAAAAGGAAAGGUCAAAGGAUUAGGAAAGGUUGCUAUAUCAAAUGACGACCCCAUCACCAAUGUGCUCUACGUGCAAUCAUUGAGUUUCAACUUGCUCUCGGUUGGACAACUUUGUGAUCUUGGAUUUGAAUGCCUAUUCAAGAAGAAGGAAGUAAUUGUGACCAAGGAAGAUGACAAUGAAGUGAUAUUCAAAGGCUUCCGGCACAACAACUUAUAUGUAGUUGAUUUCUCAUCCGAUGAAGUUGAUGUCAAGACUUGCUUAUUCACCAAGACUUCACUUGGGUGGUUGUGGCAUAGAAGGUUAGCACAUGUUGGAAUGGGCACACUCAAGAAGUUGAUGAAGAAAGAAUUGAUUAGAGGCUUGAAGGAUGUGACAUUCGAAAAGGACAAGCUUUGUAGUGCAUGUCAAGCGGGCAAACAAGUUGCAAACACUCAUCCAACCAAAGCCUAUCUCUCUACUUCAAGAGUGCUUGAGCUACUUCACAUGGACUUGUUUGGACCAACCACAUAUGCUAGUCUUGGAGGCAACAAAUAUUGCUUGGUCAUAGUUGAUGAUUUCUCCCGGUACACUUGGACAUUCUUCUUGCAAGACAAAGCCGAAGUUGCAUCAAUAUUCAAGAAGUUUGCAAAGAAUGCCCAAAAUCAAUUUGAUGUGAAGAUCAAGAAAAUUAGAAGUGACAAUGGCAAAGAGUUUGACAACACCAACAUUGAAGAGUAUUGUGAUGAAGUGGGAAUCAAGCAUGAGUUCUCAACAUACACACCACAACAAAAUGGGGUUGUAGAAAGAAAGAACCGGACAUUGAUCACCUUGGCACGAACAAUGCUAGAUGAGUACAACACUUCGGAGAAGAUGUGGGCCGAGGCAAUCAUCACCGCAUGCUAUGCAUCAAACCGGCUCUUUCCUCAAAAGUUCCUAAAGAAGACACCAUAUGAGUUGCUCAAUGGGAAGAAGCCCGAUGUCUCAUUCUUUAGAGUGUUUGGAUGCAAAUGCUACAUCUACAAGAAGCGCCAACACUUGGGAAAGUUCCAAAGAAGAUGUGACAUUGGUUACUUGGUUGGCUAUUCAUCAAAGACUAAGGCAUAUAGAGUCUUUAACCAUGCCACAAAUAUGGUUGAAGAAACAUUUGAUGUUGAAUUUGAUGAAACUAAUGGCUCCCAAGGAGCAAAUGAUAAUCUUGAUGAUGUAGGUGGUGAACCAUUGAGGGAUGCCAUGAAGAACAUGCCCGUGGGAGACAUCAAGCCUAAAGAAGAUGAUGAUGAUGUGCAAGUCAUUGAGCCACCAUCCACCUCACAAGGUCCACAAGAUGAAGACAAGGAUGUGAGAUAUGCUCAUGAAGACACUCAAGUCACUCAUGAGCAAGUGGUGGCACAAGCACAAGAUGUUGAUGCUCCCCAACCAACCCCUCAAGUGGCACCAAGAAGAACAUCACAUCUCCUCCAAGAUCACUCUCAAGAUCUCAUCAUCGGGAGUCCAUCACGUGGUGUAACUACUCGUUCUAGACAUGCUUUAUUUAUUGAACAUCACGCUUUUGUGUCUCUUGAAGAUGAACCAAAGACUAUAGAGGAAGCUCUUGGUGAUGCGGAUUGGAUCAUGGCCAUGCAAGAGGAGUUGAACAACUUCUCUCGCAAUCAAGUAUGGACACUUGAAGAGCGACCCAAAGAUGCAAGAGUGAUUGGAACAAAGUGGGUCUUCCGGAACAAGAAGGAUGAUCAAGGCAAAGUGGUGCGCAACAAGGCAAGACUUGUGGCAAAAGGCUUUUCACAAGUGGAAGGUCUUGACUUCGGUGAAACUUUUGCACCGGUGGCAAGACUUGAAGCAAUCCGUAUCCUACUUGCAUAUGCAUCUAGUCAUGAUAUCAAGUUAUUUCAAAUGGAUGUGAAAAGUGCUUUUUUAAAUGGAUAUAUUAAUGAGCUUGUCUAUGUUGAGCAACCCCCGGUUUUGAAGACCCUAGGUACCCCAAGCAUGUCUAUCGGUUGUCUAAGGUUCUCUAUGGUCUCAAGCAAGCUCCUAGAGCUUGGUAUGAGAGGCUUAGGGACUUCCUCAUUGAGAAGGGCUUCAAGAUUGGGAAAGUUGACACAACACUCUUCACCAAGAAAAUGAAUGGGGAAAUCUUCAUUUGCCAAGUUUAUGUUGAUGAUAUUAUUUUUGGCUCUACUAAUGAAGAUUUUUGCAAAGAAUUUGGUGAUUUGAUGUCCAAAGAGUUUGAGAUGUCCAUGAUUGGCGAGCUAUCCUUCUUCCUAGGAUUUCAAGUCAAGCAAAUGAAGGAAGGAGUCUUCAUCUCUCAAGAGAAGUACACUCAAGAUCUUCUCAAGAGGUUCAAGAUGAUGGAUUGCAAGCCAAUCAAGACUCCCAUGGCAUCAAAUGGGCAUCUCGACUUGGAUGAGGGAGGUAACCCAAUUGACAAGACUCUCUAUCGCUCCAUGAUAGGAAGUCUACUCUACCUCACCGCAUCUAGGCCCGAUAUCAUGUUUAGUGUGUGUAUGUGCGCUAGAUAUCAAGCAAUGCCUAUGGAAUCUCACUUGAUUGCGGUCAAGAGAAUUCUUAGGUAUCUAAAAUACACACCUUGCCUAGGCUUGUGGUAUCCCAAAGGUGCAAGAUUCCAACUUGUAGGCUAUUCCGAUUCGGAUUAUGUCGGGUGCCGGAUUGAUAGAAAAAGCACAUCCGGAGGGUGCCACUUCCUAGGUAGAUCACUUGUCUCUUGGAUGUCAAAGAAACAAAAUAGUGUUGCUUUGUCAACGGCCGAGGCGGAAUACAUUGCCGCCGGUGCUUGUUGUGCACAAAUACUCUACAUGAAACAAACUUUGCUAGACUAUGAAGUAGUACUAGACAAAGUACCUUUGUUGUGUGACAACGAAAGUGCCGUAAAACUUGCAAACAACCCGGUUCAACACACCCGCACAAAACAUAUUGACAUCCGCCACCACUUUCUUAGGGAUCAUGUUGCUAAAGGUGACAUAUCUCUAGAGAAUGUGGGAACGGAAAAUCAAUUGGCGGAUAUCUUCACAAAACCCCUAGAUGAAGCUAGGUUUUGCUUGUUAAGAAACGAACUAAAUGUGCUUGAUCUCUCUAACUUCACUAAAAGAUAAAAGUUGUGUGUUGAAACUUGUAAAUAACCCCUGCUUUGCAUAUCAUGCAUACUAAAACUAAAAUACAAAACUUGCAUGUAGGACUUGUCUAACAUGGUUAAGAUAACCCCCUAGUGUGUGUGAAAAAGCUUAACCUUGGAUCAAACUUGACAAGCAUUAGUUUACCUUCAAGUAUUGCAUUACAACUCAUAUCAUGUGCAUGCUUGUUAAUUGACCGUUUCUUUUCGGUUAUUCGUUAAGCAUCCACUGUGUUCGUCCAUAGAUAGGGGGAGCAUUCAAAGCUCAUUGUGAUUCAAACCCCUAGCUUUAUGGCCAUAUGAUGCUCCUUGGCGAUUUCUCGGAUUAUUUUCAUAAAAUCUACUAAGCCUAUGGCCUAAUAUCUGUGAAAAUCUGAGGGUUUGAGAGAAGUCACUCAUACCAGUUCCAUUUGGUGUUCUUUUGUGUGCUUUAUAAGAUGGAACUUGGUUGGGUCAAAGUCGGGCGUCGUGCUUCGUUGAAAAAGUGCUCAGAGGAGCACCGGACGCUGCCUCCGUGCGUCCGGUGCGGUGAGUGUGCCAGACUGCACUCACCGGACGCAGAAACAGUGACCCUGCAGCGUCCAGUGAGGAGCGUCCGGUGCUCACCUGGCGUGACCUGAAGCACCAGACGCUAAAGCCAGCGUCCGGUGGCCAUCGUCCGGUGCGAUGCCAAAAUGCAACCUUCUCUGCGCAUGAGUCCGGUGGUCACCGGACGCGUCCGGUGCCACAUAAAGAGCGUCCGGUGACCCCGCGGCGGACGCAUAAAGCCCGCGCCUAGGGGGUUUCGCGGCUGGUUUUUUCUUUUCCUCUCUCGAUCUCGCCCGAGCCGCGCUCUCCUCCUCCGUGCCCUAGCGCCGCCACCACCGUCCGUUCGUCGAUCUCCGGCGACCUCGGCUGUCUCCCCGCGCACAGAUCCUCUCCCAAGCCUCCUCUCUUCCCUCUCCACAAGCAGAAACUUUUUUUUGCAAAGUGGUUAGGGUUUGGGUAAGAUCCUUGAACCUUGCCCUCAAGGUGUUUGAUCUUUUGUGCAAAAGGAUUCAAUUGAGGUUUUGAUCUUGAUCUCGAUCAUCUCACCAGUGCAGCACUUUGAGGAGUUGAUUCGUGUUCUCCGGAGGUUUCCGAUCGCGACAUCUCUUCCGGAACGCGUCCCGUCUUUGGAUCGUAAGCCGUUCGCGCCCGUCCCUUAUCUAUUCUUGCGAUCUAUAGGGUUUUCUCACCUCUAGUUGUUAUGGUUUCCUAUAUAAACCCUAUCUUGUCUAUUUUCUGCAGCGUGUUGAUCCCCAUUGUCAGUUAGUUGCUAGCUGGCCGUUCGUUCAAGGCGUCUGUUCUUGCGAUGGCUCGUUGCAAGAAUGUCAGUGGUCCGGCAGCUGGCACUGGAGGUUCCUCAGGAGGUGAUGGUGGAGGUGAUCCUCCUCGUCGCCUAUCAGCGGCAGAGAAAGGCAAGGGCAAGAAGCUGGCCACCAAGAAGCGCAAGGCCAGUGACAGAGAUGCAGAGGUCGCAGAGGCAGUUGCAGCAGCGGCCGAGGCAGCUGAGAGAGGUGGUCGCUCUGGUGCUCUGAGGAUUGGGGAUGACCUCACGCCACAGCAGCGGCAUGCAGUUCUUCAGGCAGAGGCUCUUCAUGGAUCUCCUCCAGGCACCGUGACGAUUGGAGGACAGCGAAUUAGACUUGUGGUCAGAGAUCCGGCUCAGGAGGACCCGGACACUCAGACAGAGGCCCAGGCAGAGGGCACAGCAGAGAGACAGGAGCAGGAGCAGCCUCUCAGGAGGUCGACUCGCGCUCGUACCAGACCACUCCUCGGACUGGUACGCAGGGUCAGUCCACCUCCACUGCUCGUGCCACACCAGCCAGAGGCACUCCAGCUUCACGACAGAGACCAGUCAGGAUCCACAGGGAUCUCACUCUCGUGUUAGCCAGAGAGAUCCAGCAGCUGCGGUUCGUUCCGUUUCCCACCUGGUUUCCAGCUACCAGGGAUCCCAGAGCCGGUGCCAGGUUCUACACAGUCGUCCAGGAGGACAUCCACGAGGCGCUGGUUCACUCUCAGUCACAGUUCAGGGAGCACAGAGUGAUUGACCUUGAGAUACUGGGGAACGUGGUUGGAGCAGACAUCCGUCAGUAUUUCACCUACCUCCACGAUCUCCCAGAGUUGCUAGCACUCCCUGGUACUUAUUGCGAGCAGUGGGUCAGAGAGUUCUACGCGUCAGUGUGGGUUUCUCCAGAUCACAGUUAUAUCCACUACGCACUGGCCGGGACAGACUACAGAGUGACAGCACAGAGGGCUAGAGAGGUGCUGGGGUUGAGAGCCUACUCCACCAGGAUUCACCAGCUCUGCUACGGAAACGUUGAGCCUCCCCGACGUCCUCACGGUGGUGAGAUACCACCAGUUGACUUCGUGGCUCCGUGUUUUCGUCCACCGUUUGGAUAGGGCUCCAGCAGGACAGUGGGAGACCUGACACGACCAGCUAGGAUCCUUGACUUUGUGUUGAGGAAGACUCUUCUCCCCAGGACAGGCUAUAGAGAUGGAUUCACCCGCAUCCAGCAGUGGCUCGUCGCUCACCUCAUCUCCCAGACGCAGUUUGACUUGUGGGAUCUGAUCGUCUCAGAGAUAGAGGACACCAUCUCAGAGAGCUUAAGGGGACGGCGUCAGUUGCCGUAUGCACAUUGGAUUACCCUUCUUAUUCUUCGUGCCAGGCCACUACCCCUGCCAGCUCACUUGCAGAGGGAGUUGACAGAGUCCGACACCGUCUUCCCCCACUAUGACCCUAGGCAGAUGUUGAGAGCGCAUCACGACCUCAGAGCUACACCUCCUCCUCGGGCACCACGUGGACCGGUGCCCCCACCUUCUCCUAGGGGCACUCGCAGUACAGCAGCUGUACCAGAGACAGAGGAGCAGCAGGACAUAGCGAUUGGAGCUUUCGCUGAUGCAGAGGCAGAGGGAGAGUUUGACUUCGCCUCAGACAGCUCGGAUGAUGAUUAUCACCCGCCAGUGUCCGACCUCCCUUCUAGAGCACACGACCACGAGGCAGGGGGCUCUUCUAGUGCUUCAGACCCAGCUCUUCUUGCUAUACUAGAGGGUAUGAGGGCAGAUCAGCGCCGUGCAGCUGAGGAGCAAGCGAGGAGAGACAGGGAUCAGGCUGCCAUCAAUGCAGUCAUGCAGGCUAGGCAGGAUGAGCUCCAGCGUCAGUUUCUCACCUUUUAGAAGCAGCAGCUUGCGUUCCAGGCCCAGCAGACAGCGAUGAUGGCCGCUCUCAUGGCCGCCUUAGGGAUUCAGCUACCGCAGAUCCAGCUCCCAGGCACUUCGACUGUCAGGCCACCCACUCCUGCGUCUCAGACUCAGAGCCAGUCACAGCAGCCUCUUCAGCUACCAGCUCAGAGUCAGCCGUUCUCGACGCCACAGCACCAGGUCUCCCAGGGUGCUAUCUCUUCAGGCUUUGAGCAGGUACCUCAGUUUACUCCUCUCCGCUCCGGCUUCACUCCUCAGUCAGCGUCAGCGUCACAGCUUGUGUGGGACUCGUCGACAGAUCCGCACCUCAGCUUCACCUACAGUGCUCUGACUGGUGACCCUACGCCUCCUCCUCUGCAGGCCCCUACAGUCUUUACGGUGCCAGUCACCACUACAGAGCUUCUGUCGUCGUCUGUAGCGUCGUUCGAGCAGCUUGCACCGUCUUCCACCGUGCCAGAGACGAUAGCUACAGUGACUGAGAACCCUCCUCGUCAGCCGGACUCGAGCAGCCAGCACAGCCCGUGACAGCUCCAGCACCCACACAGCCGACCCGGACUGCUUCGCCAGCACCUGCAGCUUCAGAGGGUCACUCCACCUCUUCUACCUCGACGGCCGACAGUUCAGACGAUGCAGCUCGCUUCGAGGCCGUGCCGAGGGACUCCACUGCUUCGCCUCCUCCACCGGCUUCUUAGGUUUUUGGCGCUUGAUGCCAAAGGGGGAGAGAGUGCAUUUGAGAGUUAGGAGUUAGGGGGAGCUAGAGAGGGUUUUAUUCUUUUGAGAUACUUUUUAUGUGUGCUACUUUAUCAUACAUCACGUUUACUUUUAUGCAUUGCACUUAUGUGAGAUACUAUGGUUGUGAGACAUGACGUGUGCUUAUUGUGAUAUCUUAAUGUCAUGUGUUUUGGCUCAUAUUACCUUUGCUUCCGCGUUUUACUCCAAUGUACUUAUGAGCCUUAUGUUUAUAUCCUGUCAUAUACCACUCACAUAUUUGGAUGCAGGGUAUUGGACUUGGUUGAUAUAAGCAUGACUAAUCCCUUUACUCUUAUUGUAACAUGCUUAUUGAAAUCAAGUCACUUUAAAAAUCUCAACUCUUUUCAUACUCGAGGUUGUCAUCAAUCACCAAAAAGGGGGAGAUUGAAAGAGCAUCUAGGCCCCUAGUGAUUUCGGUGAUUAAUGACAUUGAUGAUUACUAUGACUAACGUGUGUUUUGCAGAGGCAAAGUCAUAGGUAAGGUCAUGGUAAAUAGGUACUCGAUGGAUAGGGACGUACAUGCCUACUUAAUAGUGGAAAUCGUUUCGGUUUUCAAAGGAUGGAUGAACAUCGUCAAGACUAGACUAGGUCUAAGUGCUAUGGUGAAGAAGGGCACUUAGAGUAGUUUAGGUCUUUGUUUUCCUUUGACCGUACUAUUAAGAGGGGCUUUGAUCUAGUAGCUUGACUUAGGCAAGGCUUUAGGUUUAGGUGUGGUGCACACUUGGUAAACCUAGCACUAGGCAGCUCAGAGGUAGUCCUUAGAUCGAGAGAAACCAACUUCGUUUUGGAGCGAUCGCGUUUCGACGAAGUUUGGGUGCCCAAAGGGGCACCGGACACUCUGUGAGUGCGUCCGGUGAGGUCCUUAGCCGUUGGAACAGUGCCGUGCCUAGGGUUAGGCACCGGACGCACCGGGUAGCGUCCGGUCCCAUACCCAGGGAGGUUGCAAGCCUUCCCCUAGCACCGGACGCACCGGGUAGCGUCCGGUCCCAUGCGCAGGGAGCUUGUAAAGUGUCCCCGAGCACCGGACGGUGCACCGGACGCUGUGGAGUUAGUGUCCGGUGCCGUGUCAGAAGCAAGUACAGUUAGUCGUUAUGGUGCACUGGACGCUCGGUCAGUGCGUCCGGUGCAACAUAAUGUGCGUCCGGUGACCCCGUUUUCAGUGGAAAACGGUUGGCCGACCUUUGGACUUCGUGGAUAGUAUUUAUACUCCACCUCAUCCAUGAGAGGUCUCUUGCCCAUUUGAACAUCAGAGAAACCUGUUGUGGAGCAAGAGCCUAGAGAGGAUUGAAGUUUGAGUAAUUUCUUGAGAGAAUCCUUCUCUAGUGAGUUCCAAGAGUCAAGUGUGCAUCCACCACUCUCUAGAGCCUUGUUUGGGUCAAGUGAGAGUUCUUUGCUUGUUACUCUUGGUGAUCGCCAUCACCUAGACGGUUCGGUGGUGAUUGGAGGCACGAAGACCGCCCGGAGUUCCUGUGGGUGGCUCGUGUCAAGCUUGUGAGCGGUUUUGGGUGAUUCACUGCGACGGAGUGUCAAAGAAUCAGCCCGUAGAGAGCACUUGGUCCUUGCGCGGACCAAGGGGGAGCAAGACCCUUGCGCGGGUGCUCCAACGAGGACUAGUGGAGAGUGGCGACUCUCCGAUACCUCGGCAAAACAUCGCCGAGCACUUUCUUCCACUACUCCUUUACAUUUUAGCAUUUACUUUGUGUUUUUACAUUCUUAGAAUUGCCAUGGUAGAAUAGGAUUGGAACUAGGUUGCAAAACUUUUAUCCGGUAGCUCUCUAGGUCACACUAGGCACAAGGGGUUGAAUUGGAGCUUAUAGGUUGCUUAAAUUUUAAGAGAAGCCCAAUUCACCCCCCCCCUCUUGGGCAUCUUGAUCCUUUCACAUACCACUAUUAGUGUUUAAAAGUUGAGUACAACGGGCUAAAUGACCGUUUAGAGUUUAGAUAAAUAAUGAUAGAAGCAUAGAGAUAAGAAAGAUAAUAGAAAGACUAAUGCUAAAUAAUAUAGAUUCCAUUGUUGGAGAUCAAUUCAGAAGGAUUAAACAAGGAAAACGCUGAUUUUCAAUUAACUAGCUAAUUAGAGUGUGUGGUAGGGGACAAACUGAUGUUUGAUAGGCAAUAAUAAAAAUAAAAGAUAUGAAGAAAAUAUUAGAAAGAUCUAGAUUCUAUUUUUAUAAGAAACUAUUAGAGAUUAAUAUGAAAUAAGAAUAAAAAUCUUAGUACAGAUAAUAUCAUUAACUAGCAAAUUAGAUAAUUAAACAUCUAAUCUAUGAGGUGUAUUAAGAGAGUUAUGGGAAGAUUGGGGGUGCCAGGCCCCCCUCGGCCCCCCCUUCCCUCCGCCACUGGAUAUGUAUAUGAUGACGUUAUAUGGUUGAUUUGAGAUGUGAUAUGACUAACGUGGCCAGCCAUGAGGCAAGACAUAGGCCUUGUUUAGAUGCAAAAAGUUUUGGGAUUCUGACACUGUAGCAUUUUCGUUUUUAUUUGACAAAUAUUGUCUAAUUAUGGAGUAACUAGGCUUAAAAGAUUCAUCUCGUGAUUUACAAGUAAACUGUGUAAUUAGUUAUUCUUUUUAUAUAUAUUUAAUACUUCAUGCAUGUGCCGUAAGAUUCGAUGUGAUGGGGAAUCUUGUAAAGUUUUGGAUUUUUGGGUGUAUCUAAACAAGGCCAUAGAUGGUAGGAUGUCCUGAAGUGGUUGGCGCUGAUGUUAGAAUUUUGGAGAUAUUUCUUUUCCUCAACAUUUUCUUAGGUACUACUUCCUAGAGUGAGAGGAUACCGAACGACAGAGUGCCCUUAGGGCACUCACAAUGCAGACUCUAUCAUGGAGUCUAAAGUUAUUUAUUACCUCAAACAAUGUGGACUUGGAGUCUAAAUAAGACUUGGAGUCUUAUUUUUUUCUACCUCUUUCUUCAAUAAAUACGGUGCCACAUCAGCAAACUACCAUAAAUAAUAUGUAAUUAAUUGUCUUGGACUCUGUGAUAGAGUCUUGCAUUGGGAGUACCCUUAGACCAUCCUCAAUGGAAGUUUCAUGACACAGUUUCCAAUACAUCCAUAUUUUGGAAACAGUGCAUAGGAGUUUCAUGGGGAUGAAACUCUCUCUACUCCCAUAAAACUCUUAUCAUCUCUCUUCAUUAAUAUAGCGCCACAUCAGCAUAUUUAAUGUGCAUGAAACUCCAAUAAAACUCCAUUGAGACUGGCCUUAGUGUGGCUUAUGUGGGGGAAACGCUUUACCUUCAGGUGCAUGAAUAGGAGUGCGGAGAUAGUUUAGGGCCCACGGUUUAUUUCACAGCAUGUUUGAUAAGGGCACUCACAAUGCAAGACUCUAUCACAGAGUCCAAGACAAUUAACUACAUAUUAUUUAUGGUUUUUUGCUGAUGUGGCAACAUAUUUAUUGAAGAAAAAGGUAGAAAAAAUAAGACUCCAAGUCUUAUUUAGACUCUAAGUCCACAUUGUUCGAGGUAAUAAAUAACUUUAGACUCUAUGAUAGAGUCUGCAUUGUGAUUGCCCUAACCCAGCUCCUCGGCUCAUGUUUGCCUUUGUCAUAUUGGAAUUUAUGGUUGGGGGAGUGGGUGGUUUGGAUGAGGUUGGAGUGUAUUUUAUAUUAUUUUAAAACAUGAAAAGUCCAAAUUAUUCUCUCCACAUUUGGCAUAUGUCCAGUUAACCCUCUAAACUAACAUUUAAUUUUAUUUACUCUCUCCAACUAUUUUAGUUUGGUCUAGUUUCUUUCUUUAACAUGAUUCGUCACUUUUGUUUCUCCACGUCAGUUUUAAUAUCGAACUUUUUGAGGUCCUAGAGGACAUCAUAAUAAGUUAUGUUAGGAAAAUAUAUCUUAAUGUUGUGUCACUAUUCUUUUGCAAGUAUUUUUGUCACUAUUUUGAUAGCUUAGGGAAUAUAACACUAAAGAUGCAAUAUUGUGCAAAACAUAAUGAGGAAAAGUUCAUAUUGUAUUUUCUAAUACACAAUGCGAUGUCCUCUAUCACCUCACAAAUUUUGAAACUAAAGCAUAAUUUGUAAAUAGAGAAACAAAAUAGGAAAAACUUCUUAAGGUGUAAAUUGGACCAACUUAAAUAGAUGGAGGGAGUAAAUUGUACCAUGUAUGAUAAUUCAUGGCUUAUAUAAACAUAGACCUCCCAAGCCUGUUCGCUUCAGCUUAUCCGCUAAAUCUUUCAGUCAUUCAACAGUAUUUUCUCUCACAACAAGUCAGUGAAUAAUACUUUCAGCUAUCCCUUUUUAGACAAGCAAAAAGGGGAGUAAUUUGGAAUCUUUUCUUUAAAAUAAAGAGGCCCGAGAGUGCUCCUUGGCUGCACUUUAUUAGAGACAACUUGCUAAAUUCAGACAGUACUUAAGGGUCUCACGCUCACAAAUCCGUCAGGUUAUUUGACAGGUACAAAGUAAACAAGCUACACACACUCUAGGAUCGACUCUCCAUAGGGAGCAUCAUUGUUAAUCGGCGUCUUGCAUUUUGUUGCAAGCUAGCUUUUAGGAAUUUAGUUCAAUAUAAGCAAAUCGAAGCAGCACAUUAAUUCACCCUCAGUUUACAUUGUCCAGAAGUCGUUUCGCGCACAGGCGAAAACUAGGUGGCAAAGUAGAUGUUGCUACAGCUGAUGUUUUUCUCAGUUUAGAUUAUAAGCAGAACAGGAACAUAGAUAUACUAUGUUGAUCGAUCAUGCAUGAUCACUGUGCUGCUGUGUUGAGCGCAGCUGCAACCGAUUUGUUGCACUGUGCUAGGAUCUUCUUCAGCCUCAUUACCACAUCACGCAUUGCCAUCCUUUGGUCAGGUGAGUCACUGGAGCACAGCAAACCUAACUCGAAUACCGGCACAAGAAAGGCUUCCAGAUUGAAGCUAGACAACCAAUGUAGUAGCUGAUCAUCAACAACACGGACAAGGUCUGCCGGAAACGCCUCAAAAACCCACUGCCUCAGGGUUAGAUUUCCAGCAAAAACAGCGUCCGUCGGUCUCUUUCUAGUGAAGACUUCCAAGAGCAUAACUCCAAAGCUGUACACGUCACUUUCCCGUGAUGCUUUUCCUUGUGCCCCAUACUCUGGUUAAGAAAAAAAAAGACAAGAAAAAUAAGCCAUGAUUGAUACAUUAAUCUAAGUUAAUCAAUGGUCCAAUGAGAAGUAGAUCUGAGCAAGCAGAAAAUACCCGGUGCAAUGUAUCCAAUAGUUCCAGGCAUGCUCACAGAGAUGGUAGAGCUGUCAUCACCUGCUAGCAACCUUGCAAUGCCGAAGUCAGCCACAUGUGCUGUCAUGUCCUGAUCGAACAAUACAUUGCUAGGUUUCAAAUCACAGUGCAAGACCACAUUGCAGUGCUCAUAGUGCAGAUACUCCAUUGCCAAUGCCACAUCGAGCAUGACGCCUAGUCUCUCAAGGAAUCCCAGCUGAUGUGUUGUCUCUUGAGAGCAGUGCAGAAGUGUCUCUAAACUUCCAUUCGCCAUGUAGGGAAGAACUAGUGCCCGAAAGUCCAAGUUGGAGCAUGUAUUGAGUAUCCUGAUUAGGUUGCGGUGUCGUGCCAUGCGUAGUGCACUGCACUCGGCAUCGAAGCUUCUUAUGGCCUGCUCUUGUUGCAUGUCUAGAACUUUUAUGGCAACAAUCAAACCACUGCUUAGUUGACCCUUGUAAACUUUUCCAAAGCUCCCAGAUCCAAGUAAGUUGCUCUCACUAAAAUUAUUGGUGGCACGAACAAGCUCAUGGUAGGAAACCAACUGAUGGCUGAUCAUGUCAACGGAACCAGCAGAAACUGUCAUACCUUGCUGCUUCUGAUUUCUCUUUCUGAUUACUACAUAUAUGCAGAAAGCUACAACUCCAGUUACUACAACGAUGGUAAUAGGUACGAGAACUUUCAGCAUGUGACCAUUGUUUCUUCUAGAGCCUCUUGGACGUAGACAUUGUGAAAACCCUAGACGUGGAGCACCACAAAGCCCUGCAUUCCCUAUCAAGGAUUGCAGGGUGAUGUUUGAGAAUACACCACCUUCAGGUAUCUGUCCUUGUAGCUCAUUGUAAGACAGGUUCAAGCUAGCGAGGAUGGAAAAGUUGGCCAGAUAAUUUGGUAUUGUACCAGAAAGAUGAUUAUAUGACAAGUCCAGAAAUUGCAAACUGGUUAGAUUUAUGAAAGACAUUGGGAUUGAACCGUGGAAUGAAUUGUGCGAUAGGUUCAAGUAGGCCAUCAUUUGCAGCUGUGCAAUCGAAUCUGGGAGACUACCGACCAAGAGGUUUGCAGAGAGAUCCAUGCCAUUAAUUUGCUUCAUAUAGCCUAUAUCAACUGGUAAUUCUCCUUCCAAGAGGUUUUCAGAAAGAUCUAGGAAGAUAAGGCUAUCAAUAUGAAAUAAACUUGGUGGUAUAGUCCAGGUUAUCCUAUUAUUAGACAGCCUAAGGUCUUCUAACACUGUCAGGUUACCAAUGUCCCUUGGAAUGGAGCCGGAGAAUUCGUUAUUAUGAAGAUAUAGUUUUACCAUAUUCUUCAGCAUGGCAAGAUUUGAUGGGAUGGAGGCAAACAUGCUAUUUCUUUGAAGACCAAGCCACUGGAGGUCCUCCAGCAUAGCCAUAGACUCUGGAAUUGCGCUGCGCAGCUGGGUAUCUGAAAGUUCUAGGCUAAUGAGACCAGUGAGAUUUGAGAUUGCAGCUGGAAGUUCACCAACUAUCUUGUUUCCAUUCGCACGGAAUGUCUGCAGUUCAUUGGACCAAUUCCCUAUAUGGUUUUCAGUGAGGCUCCCAACGAAACGAUUCAUCGAGAUGUCAAGGUAAGAAAGUUGCCGGCAGUUGGAAAGAGCUGACAGGAAGCUGAAAUCCCCCUGUAGCCUGUUUUCUGAAACACUGAUCAAAAACAGGGAGUUCAUGUCACAGAGUGCUGACGGUAUUGUACCAACUAAUUGGUUGCCAUCCAGUGCCAUGUAUCCGAAUUCAGACAGGUUUCCAAGAGAAGCCGGAAUGGAUCCACUGAGCUGAUUGGCAGAGAGCAGCAGCAACGAGAGCUGGCUCAUGUGUCCGAGCCCCACAGGAAUGGAUCCCGUCAGGUUGCAGACCGAGAGGUCCAGGCUGCUCAGCAUAGUCAGGUUGCCAAGCUCAGCAGGAAUCGGUCCAACAAAGCUAUUGCCACCCAGUGAAAGGAAAGUGAGACGUACUAAACUUCCCAGCCAUGUUGGCAGAAUGCCCUCAAGCAGAUUUUCAGUCAUGUCAACACUUUCCAGGAACCUGCACGCCACGAGCCCUGACGGAAUCUGUCCAGAAAAACUAUUCAACCCGAUGGAGAACACCUGCAGCAUCGGGAGACUGAAACUUGCGUUUCCAAGAAUCGGACCGGUUAAUCCGUGGUUGUAGGUGAGUGCUAGAAUCUGAAGAGUGGACAUGUUGAAGAUGGCUGGAGGCACUGCGCCGGCAAGAUGAUUCACCUGCAGCUUUAGGUACUCGAGCGAUGGCAAGGAGCCAAUGCAAGAUGGUAUCGAUCCUGACAAGCUGUUGUUACCAAAGUUGAGGUAGGUUAACAAGGGUGUGUUGUUGAAUAGAUUGUCUGGGAUCGAUCCGGUUAGGAAAUUUCUCUGGAGGUUUAUGUGGUUAAGGCUAUGCAGGUUGUGCAGCUCUGCCGGAAUUGGACCAGAUAGGUGGUUGAACUUUAGGGCAAGGACCUCCAGGCUGGUAAGGUUACCUAUUGCGGGAGGGAUGCUUCCUGAUAGGCCAUUAAACGUGAAGUCCAUGGCUUUGAGGCGAUGCAGCCUUCCCAGAUCGUCUGGGAGUGCUCCUGUAAGGCUGGUGUUGGUGAGGUUGAGUACGGUAAGGAAAGAGAGGUUACCGAGCUGGGGAGCGACGACGCCAUAGAGGGGAAGGUGCUGCAGCUGCACGGCAGUGACGCGGUUCCUGUGCCGGGUGCUGCAGGAGAUGCCGACCCAGUGGCAGAAGGACACAGCGGUGGUCCAGUUGCCGGAAAGGAUGACGAGAGGGUCGGAGAGCUGGGCUUUGAAAGCCAGCAGCGCGGCAAGGUCAGUGUCGCUGCUGCUGCUGUUGCCAUUGCCGACGAUCGGGAUAGGAGAUGAAGCUACGGCAGCCGCUGAUAGAGCUAGUAGUAGGGCAAUUGAAAUGCAUGUAGUGGUGGCCAUGGAGUGGAGCUGCUCCCCGCCCAUCUUCCAAUGGAAUUUCAUAGUAGGAACAAAGCUGUACAAAGUGGGGACGACAAGGAAACUAGCUACGUAUUUGCCAUUGUCAAGUGGCCACCUUGCAGCUUGUACUGCACCCGCGUGGUCCUGAGGAUGCUAUCUGAUAAUUCAAAGUAUGGUCGUGACUCUGAUUAAAUUUAUGGGAUAGUGACGUAUUAUCUACCACCAUGGUCAACUAGUCAACCGUGAUGGCACAACGAAUUAUAAUUCCAGGUCUCUGCGUUUCAAGAUUGGAUCCAACUGACCAUGGUUUGCGUGGCCUCCGGGAAGGCGACGAGAAUCGUAUAUACAAAUAAAUCAACCAACAUGUGCAGGCAUUUAAAAAGAAAAAGGCAAGAGAGUUGCUGAAUUAUUUUUUAAAAAAGGGGAAUCGCCGGGGAGCCGAGGGGCACCACCUGCAUUUAUCAUGGAUUGUUAACCUGUUGUCCUCCGGAACAGCUAAGAGCAGCUAAGCCUGUUUAGCGGUUUUGCAAAGAAAAAAAAUACAGUACCCGUAACCAUUACUAACUGAUUGAUAAUAACCAAUUCGCAAGAGUACAUCACCAGCAGAUCAGACUUCAAUUUCACCAUCAGACCAUCGACAAAAUCAGAGAAGAAACUUGCCUCGCAGCCGUCGCCAUUGCCUCGUAGGCACCUCCUCCUCGCAAUCGCCGCCACCACUGCUCGGGAGAGAAGAAGAGGAAUGGGGCGCCACGCCGCUGCUUCGGGAAGACGAGGAGCGCCGCCAUCUCCAGUCCGCCGCCGCUUUUGGCGCUCCCGGUACCGAGCGCAGCCGCCGCCGCCGCCGCCGCUCGGGGGGAGGAGAGGAAUGGGGAGCCGCGCCGAUGCUUUGCGGAGAGAAAUAAGGCCUUGUUUAGUUCUUAUAAAUUUUGCAAAAUUUUUCAGAUUCCCGUCGCAUCAAAUCUUUAGACAUAUGCAUGAAGUAUUAAAUAUAGAUGAAAAUAAAAACUAAUUAUACAGUUUGAUCGAAAUUGACGAGACGAAUCUUUUGAGCCUACUUAGUCUACGAUACUGUUCACAUUUUGUAAAAUUUUUUGGAACUAAACAAGGCAAGGGGGUGUUUAGUUUUUUUUUCUAAAAAAAUUGGAUUUUGGUCUAUUAUUUUAGACAAUAAAACUAAACAUUAUGUAAAAUUUUUUGCAAAAAAAGUGGUUAUUCUCCGUUUUGAAUUUUGAGCCUUGUUUGGUCUUGUUUAGUUCCAAAGUUUUGCAAAAUAGACACUAGCAUUUUUGUUUGUAUUUGACAAAUAUCAUCUAAUCAUAAACUAACUAGGAUUAAAAAAUUCAUUUAGCAAAUUACAGUUAAACUGUAUAAUUAGUUAUUUCUUUUAUUUAUAUUUAAUACUUUAUAUAUGUGCCGUAAGAUUUGAUGUGACGGAGAAUUUUUGGAAACUAAACAAGGCCUUCACCUAAAAGACCAAAAACUUUUCAAGAUUUUCCGUCACAUAGAAUAUUACAACACAUGCAUAGUUUACAACACAUGCAUAGAAUAUUACAACACAUACAUAGAAUAUUACAACACUUUUCAAGCUGGUCGGCAGUCUAUCUUGGGGUAUACCCACGGUAGUAGUUUAUCGGUAGACGGUGCGCAAACUACGAACUCGAUGGUGACGCAAGACACGGACAAGCUUUUUAUCCAGGUUCGGCCGCCGAGUUGGCGUAAUACCUACGUCCUGCGUCUGGUUGUAUUGAUUUGUGUUGAGAGAAUAUGAUGUAUGACUUGUCCUCUAGGGGACCCCUGCCCCUCCUUAUAUAUCCUGAAGGGACAGAGUUACAAGCAAAGUAUCCUAUUUGGUACAAAAUCUUAUAGCCUUGCGGUGCACGCCGACCAGUCGUGCGCCGCACGUCUUCAUCUUGUGGGCCGAGCCACCUCUGAUGGUGCGGCCCAUAUAGGCCCAUGAGGGUAUAGGGGUUUAUACCCCCACAGCUAGUCCCCGAGCACCAUGUAUUAUGAUGUAACACGCCGUCUUGAGCUUCUUCGAUCAGUGAGGCUUGAUGUCUUCAAUAAGCAGGAAAGUCGCUCAAACAGUUGCAACAGUAUUUUGACCAACUCAAAAGACAGUUGAUCAACAUUGACAUCGAAGAAGCAGGUUGUUCGAAGAAUACAUGGUGCUCUAAAUUAAAAAAGAUUUCUUUCCUGAUGAAGUGUGCCCACUUUACUUUUCUGAAAAAUAUAGACCUAAAAAAAGCAAGCAUAUUCACCGCAAGGUGAAGUGUGCCCACUUAGUCCCCGAGCCUGGUAGUAGGUGACGUAGGCACGUGGUGCCAGGGUCAAAAGAAAAGUCCUCAAAGAAAUUCUGAAACUGAGAUGCAUCGCCAGAUGCAUCGUACCGAUGUAGUCCCCGAGCUUGCUGGAAGGCGAAGUAUGAGCCUUGUAGCAAGGUCUAAAAAAUUGAAUUUAUCAGUCCGUCUGCAAUUAAAUAGACUAAUCGACCAGUCCCCGAGCAUAUAACGCUCGGUGGUCGGUACAGUCACCGAAUUCUCAAAUUGGUGGGCUGGUCGACCAGUCCCCGAGCGUAUAGUGCUCGGUGGUCGGUACAGUCCCAAAACUCUCAAAUUGGUGAGCUGGUCGAACAGUCCCCGAGCGUAUAGUGCUCCGUGGUCGGCACAGUCCCCGAGCACGGCGUAGGGACCGGUGGACAAGUCCCCGAGCGUGGUUGGAAACGUAAACGUGCUCGGUGGUCGGCACAGUCUUCGAGCACAGCAUAGAGAGUAGUCGACAAGUCCCCGAGCGUGGUGGGGAACGUAAACGUGCUCGGUGGUCGGAGCAGUCCCCGGACACAGCGUAGGGAGUAGUUGACGAGUCUCCGAGCGUAGCUUGUCGACUGGACCAAACUUCUGAAAAAUAAAUAUAAAGAAUUGGUAGUACAUGAUGUAUAAAUAACCUUUAGAUAAAAAAUCAGUACUAAGAUAAGUUUUAGAUUUGUUAUAAAAUUAGCACGAGUAGUUAAUUCGUCCUAGAGCUUGUACCAGCUCUGGUCUAGCCAACAAUCAGCAUGAGGUGCGGAACCUAGGCACGCGUAGGAUUGUCAGCCACGUCAGAGAGCUACUGCCGACCACCCGGAACGCAGAGGGCGGAUCUCGUGCACGUGUAGGGGGGAGUCGGAGACAGUACCGGCUCUGGAAAGCUCGUGUAGGAGAAAAAACUAGUCGGCUAAAAUAGUUGUUUUGAAGAGUAAUAAUAUCAAGGAUAUUAUGCCAAAAAUAAAUAAAAUAUUAGAAUUGUACUUAUCUUUGGACGAAAGUCUGGUCGGGAGAGUUGCUUGACUUGUUGUCAUGAUGGUGGUCGCGGUUGUCGUAGCGCCGUUCUUCGCGGCGAUUAUUAUUGCGACUAGUGAUCAGAGCAAGUAGGCCAAACAAUUUGGUCGAUGGCCCGAGCAGGUCGGUGUUGUCGAUCUGCCUCCCUUUGUAGCAGGGAAGCGGGUGACGCGUUGUCGGCGUGGUCGGAGACGUUGCUGGAGUAGUCGGAGUCGUAGCCAGCGUGGUUGAAGCCGCCGCCGACGUCAAUGAAGAAGUGGUUGGCACAGAUCGGAUCUACACCUCCUCCGUGAUCAUGGCGGUGAAGUUGUUGAAGCUGACGGUGAACGUGAAGUCGCCCGCCAUGGCCGCGAAGUCGAGGAUGAUGGCCAUCUUGUUCGUCGGGAGAGCUGUACGCACACCCCCUACCUGGCGCGCCACUGUCGACAAAAGCUGGUCGGCAGUCUACCUUGGGGUAUACCCACGGUAGUAGUUUAUCGGUAGACGGUGCGCAAACUACGAACUCGAUGGUGACGCAAGACACGGACAAGCUUUUUAUCCAGAUUCGGCCGCCGAGUUGGCGUAAUACCUACGUCCUGCGUCUGGUUGUAUUGAUUUGUGUUGAGAGAAUAUGAUGUAUGACUUGUCCUCUAGGGGACCCCUGCCCCUCCUUAUAUAUCCUGAAGGGACAGAGUUACAAGCAAAGUAUCCUAUUUGGUACAAAAUCUUGUAGCCUUGCGGUGCACGCCGACCAGUCGUGCGCCGCACGUCUUCAUCUUGUGGGCCGAGCCACCUCUGAUGGUGCGGUCCAUAUAGGCCCAUGAGGGUAUAGGGGUUUAUACCCCCACAAUAGACGAAAACAAAAAACUAAUUACAUAAUUUAUCUGUAAAUCGCAAAAUAAAUCUUUUGAGUCUAGUUAAUCCACGAUUAGAUAAUAAUUGUCAAAUAAAAACAAAAGUGUUACAGUACUUAUAAAAAAAAUUGGAACUAAACAAGGCCUUGGCGUCAAGAGACAAAAAAAAAUCCAAAAAAACCUCAAGAGACUUUAUAAGAAUAAUAAAUUCUGCAUUUUAGAUAGAACUAAAUAUAACUCUAAAAAUUUUGGUAUUUUACAUUUCAUGACUCUAAAAUAAUUAAUAUUUUGUAUUUUAUGAGCCGUCGUCUCCCGGGAAGGAGCGCAGUUAAACAGAGAAUGCUACUUAUCUCAUGGGCCCACAUUUCCUGUGGUCCAAUCUCCAUUGACGACGCAAGCAAGGGCAAAAAGUCUACUUUUCUUUCUCUAAUUUUCACUAAAAUCUGUUUUCAUCCUUAACUUCAAAAUUAAAUAAACUAUCUUUUUCAACUUUUUAAAUUAUGUCAAACUAAUUAGAAUGCUCCAAUGCAAAAAUCACCUUAGUUUUAUAGAUAUUAAUUAUAUUAUCAUCUAAACGUUUUGCUAAUGUAACAAGAUAAUUGUUGAAGCAUAGAAUCCAAGUUUAAAUUAGAAACCAUAUCUGCACUAGAACCUAGACAUGAAGAGAUCUAGUUGAUAGAGAAUGGAGAGAGAAUGUAUGUGAUUAAAUAAAAAAUUAUUCUCUAGAAACUAUCUAUUAGGACCAUGGUUUCUAUAUGUAGUGUUUAUGAAAAUUAAUGCUUAUAGAAACUACGUUCUGUUCAUUUAGCUGAUAAGUCAUGGCAGAAAGUAUUGUUCACUGAUUUGUUGUCACAGAAAAACACUAUUAAAUGGUUGACAGAAAGUAUUGUUCACUGUGUAAUUAUUUUAAAAAAACAUUUUAAAUUAUGCAUUUUACCUCCUUGGAGUGAUUUUGAAUGCGGUUUUGCUACAGUGAAUUGUGAUUUUGCUACAGUGACUGUGUUUUUGUCUUUUUAACAAAUUAUUUCGAUUGAAUCUUUAAAAAUCAUAACAAAUCACAGAAAAAUUAGAAAAUAUAUAAUCUAAUUUUAUUGGACUCCACAUGAGUAUAUCUACAUAGUAAACAUAUAAUAUGGUAUGCUUUAGUAUAAAGUAUUUGCUACGAAGGUUUGUCUUUUUCUUUUUCUAUUUAUUUGGCUGAAUCUUUGAAAAAUUAUGGUAAAUCACAGAAAAAUUAUAAAAUAGAAAAUCUAAUUUUGUUGGACUUCACAUGAGUAUAUAUACACAGUAAAUAUAUAAUAUCGUAUGUUUUAGUUCAACAAAAUAAUAAUAGAAGCUGCAGCUAUGAAUUAUUUCAAUUAAUUACACAAAAGCAUAAAUCUAAAGCUACAACAAAAAAUAUACUAAAGCAUAUUAUAUUAUAUGUUCACUCUGUAGAUUUGCUUAUAUGGAGUCUAACAAAAUUAGAUUUCUCAUUUUAUAAUUUUUUUGUAAUUUACUAUGAUUUUUCAAAGAUUUAGCUGAAAUAAAUAAAAAACAAAAAACAAAAUCUUCGUAGCAAAACUUACUAAAGCAUACCAUAAAUAUACUCACUGUGUAGAUCUACUCAUGUCGAGUCCAAAAAAUAAAUUUUCUAUUUUAUGAUUUUUCUAUGAUUUAUUAUAAUUUUUCAAAAAUUCAGCCGAAACAAAAAAGAAAAUGACAAAACCACCGUCAUUGUAGCAAAACCACAUUCAAAACCACUCCAGAGAAGUAAAAUGCAUGGUUUGAAAAGUUUAGGAAGGUGAUUUGCCCGAUUUGGGAAUUGAGGGAGAAAAGGCAGACUAUCAUAAAAGUCACUCUAGAGAGUCAUUCUCAUCUUCUAUAUUUGACUGGCGAAAAAUCUGGAAUAAACAAUGGCUAUAUUUAGAUGACUAUUUAGAGAAGCUGUUAGAGGAUAAUUUUUCAUCGAAAUCUCUAUUUCUAGCAUUUAGGAAGAAUAGCUUAGAGACUUUUUCCCACACAAGCGCACCCAAAUCCUAGCAAUCCGCCCAUUUAAGAGCCUGUUUAGAUUAUCAACAAGCCACAACUAAAAUAUUUAGGACCGGGGGUAGGAUUAGGGCUGGUGGGCUGGAUCACAUCAGUUUCCAGGCCUGGCUGCACCUGCAAAAGCCAUUUCAGCAAGGCAAUGGUUCUGGCCACAGGUCUGCUGCUCCUGAUUCCAUCCAAUUAAGAGGAACCAAAACAACGCAGAAAAACAAGAGUUAUGCCACUCACCCUGAUCCACACAGAUUGUUCAUCCCAUCCGCAUCCAUCCCAGCAACAUAAGUGAACCACACAAAGGAAUCAGAGGCCAACGAUACAUGAUCAUGUUGGAUUUGGUACACUAAUCUAACAUCUCGGAAAAAGUUUAUCUGAAGAAGCAACAUGUUCGCUUGAGCUGCAAACUAAAUCGUCCCUAAAAUGUAUUGAAGUGAUUCCAAAAUCCGUAUAGAAAUUUAGGAUGGAGAUACACUGUUCCUUGAAUAAAGGCAAUCAGAUUCACUGUUCCCUACAUCUACAUUACAGGCUAGGCCCUGUUUAGUUUCAAAUCCAAAAUUUUUUCAUCCAUCCCAUCGAAUCUUUGGACACAUGUAUAAAACAUUAAAUGUACAUAAAAAAAUAAACUAAUUACACAGUUUGGUUAAAAAUCACGAGACGAAUCUUUAAGCCUAGUUACUCCAUGAUUAGCCUUAAGUGCUAUAGUAACCCACAUGUGCUAAUGAUAGAUUAAUUAUACUUAAUAGAUUUGUCUUGCAGUUUCCUGACGAGCUAUGUAAUUUGUUUUUUUAUUAGUUUCUAAAAACUCCUCCCGACAUCCUUCCGACACAUCCGAUGUGACAUCCAAAAAAAUUUUCAGACAGCAUGCUUCGCAUUUACAACUAUGAUUAGUCUUAUCACCAACCCUUUCAUUUGAUACGCCUUGCAAGUAGCAAGUUGUAUGUCCUUUUACCUCUGCAGCAGGAAGGAAAAUCAUACAGAGAAGGUAUGGUAAGUAACUUUUACCUGAAGUUCUGAAUAAAGCAACAAAGAAAAUAUAAAGUUUAUUUCCUGCUACCAAUCUCGGUCCUCAUCUUGUUUUCGUAUUUGUGAUAACCCGAUUAAAUUAAAAGUUCAUACUUGCAACUCUGAUAUGGAGGAACUAGCAAUCGGUAAUUCUAAGUGUAGGUAGUAAACACAUACACAUGAUACACCCAUCCCAAAUUUUAUGUGCUCUGGUUAAACUGAAGCCUGGAAGUAAGGCAGUUUGGCUCCUGUUAGUUCACCAUAGCUUCCUUAAGGCUUCAGCUUACCUACAGUCGGUCCCCAUGUUGUAAUGCAGCCUGACGAAAACUCAAGACACAAAAAAAAUCGAAAAAGCUUAACAAAUUUCAUUCUUCCUCACUCAACCAUUGAAUACAGGUGAGUUAUGCACAAAGCAGCACAAACUGUUAUCAAGUUUGUACCUACAUUUGCAAGAGCCAACCAGUAAAGAUGGACUGACCAGCUCCACAAAGCCACAACUGAUUUUCUAGUAAAUUUCAAAUCCUCUAGGAAAGUUUCAUUGUAUCACCGUGCCUGAUUUUCUAGUAGGACCAUCAAGAAUCCGUUUCAUGUAAUGUUACAUCAUGAACAUGAGUAAGCGAUGACAGAGUCGACGCAAAUGCAGCACAUAACAAAGAGAGCCACAAGGUAGAAACAGAGAGCGGAUCUAGUAAUGUUUAUCACAUUUCAUUUAGUUCUAGUAAUAAUUAACAAACGACCCAAACAAUACAAUAGCCUCUGCUUAAUAUUGCAGAGCACUGAAUUACCGAGUUCACCACGAGAGCAGCAGGACACAAACGAGAGCAAAGUAGCAGCAGAGCACAAGGGCUCGCAAGCAUAUACCGUGCCAACGGACCUUUAUUACGGCACAGCUAUAGGAGACCGGGAACACACAACAGCCAGUCCACGGACUCACUGGUGGACGAGGCAGCCUUCAGCGACAGGCAUUGGGGAAACUGGGACAGGAGCAAAGGUGGUGGUGCCCUUGCCCUCACUGGCUUCCUCCUCUUCCUCGUCAGACAGAACCAGGCCAGCAGCGCUGAAGAUGUACGCCUUCACUUCCUCGAAGCGCUCCUCAGAGAGGGAGACCUCAGCGAGGAGCUUCCACGCAGAGGUUUCAGAUGCCUCCUCAUAGUCGCUCCUCCGCUUCAGCACGAUGUGGCCACUUAUCUCCCACACGGCUGGGUUCACCUGAGUGUCCAGCAGCUCCUGGCUCACUUCACCCAGAGCCUGCUUCUCUGCAUAACACUGCAUUAUUGAAGAGAUAAAAGUUUGUUAGAACAUCACAAAGAGAGUUCCACCAAUUCAGUCCAGAUUCUACAAAACCCAGAAAUUGUGUAAUGAUUUUACCUGGGGGAACAGGAAGACCCUCUUUCCACAGUCAGAAAUGAGCACGUUGUAAGGCACAUUGUUGUCCUGCAGCCAAAUGCAAGCAUUGGAAACCACAUUUGCCAGGUCCUCCAGUGUGUUCCCUCCCUCAAAUACCAGGCCUCUCACAGGAUAAUUUAUCAGCUUGGACACGGUCACUCCAUUCUUCAUUGUGUCCUCAGAAAGAGGGAUCUUGAGGGUAGCUGCCUUCUCGACAGGGAAAGGCACUGACAAGUAGUAUGCCUGUAAAGAAAACAAGAUAUUAUCAUUCAGUUAAACAACAUUUUCGAAAAAAGAAGUUACCACAAUAACACUAUCUUCACAAUACUGAAUAUGCUCCUAUUUGAUUAGGAUUUUGUAGUAAGAAGUAAAUUUAGAUACCAUCAGAAGUUUAAUACCUGAAAGUGGAGGUGAUUGAUGGUGGCAAAGGCACCCAAGCUAUUGUAACCAAGCCUGAAGUAAGGGCUAGCUGCCUCAGCUGCCAUUUGCAGUGCAAGCAAGAAGCUCUCUGGAUCAAUCUUCUGAGGCAGGCGGUCCAGAACACGAGGAAUGAGAAGCACAUGUCCAUAUUCAAUUGGGCUCACCUGCAAACCAUCACAAACAGUCAUUGGAAACAAGAAUAGGCGAGAUAGAAUGGAAGUUGGAUUGCAAGUGUGAAUGAGAGAUGUACAUUGAUAGCAACAACAUUUGGAGCACGAUCAACAGCAAUGAUUGGAGCGUCAUUCAGGAAAUAGCUGUCAUCACCAUCACCAUUCUCAAAUUGGAAGAGAACCUCUUCCUGGCCAACUUUGGUGAAAUUGAACUUGGCAGGGUCAAAUGGCUGGAGCACACGGUCCACACGAAACUCAGUAGGGCGCUUCUUAAGGUGGCGCCCUUCAUUGAGUUGUGCAACAAACCCAAGGUUGCCAGGGAUGACCUUGGUCUCACAGGCAGUGACAUCAUAGCGGAAUAAGCCUCGGGCCAUCCUGUCUUCCCACUGCCAGAAUACAAAGCAAAAUACUAAACUCAGAAUCUGAAUCCCGAAAAGAGAAAUAUGAGAAGUAGACUUCACUAUUCACCUAUUUCAGCGAACUUUCACAAUAAAGUAUUUUCUACUUUUAUAGAAUGUGUUACAGAACAAAACGUAAAACUGUCCAUAUAUCAUUCAAAACCAGAGCAGUGCCAGUUCUAGUGCCAUUGUAAGGUAUAUAUUAAUCAAAAUAAGAAUGGUCCAUAUUUGAAGAUCUUAGACACUAUUCUGGCAGCAACUAUCAUCAUCUUACAAGUUGUACAUGCAUGCAUUUGCUACUGCUCAAGUGCACUUAAGGACCGUUCGGUUUGUGCCUGGCAGAUUUUUCCACUGCUCAACACUGCACUUACAAGAAUGGUCCAAAUAUGUUUACCCAACUUUUUAAGAGAUUUGCAUAUUUCUUACUAGACUAGAUGUAGAUAAAUUGAUUCCUAAUAUCCUAAAACUAGCACAGUUGAAGUCCCAACAAAAAUCACAAGCUUUUAUUUACCUCGCUAAGGAGGAUAUCAACAAGCAGCUUGGUUGAAGCAGCACCCUCCUGCGAGCGCUUUGCCGGAUUCAACUUGAACGCGUAGAGGGGAAGCUUGGAAGCUGCUCAAAGAAAGAUGGAAAUGUUAAUACAAUAAAAGUGCAGCAUGAUUUGCUACUUUCAUGUCAAGUGAAGCAAAUAAUACUACUACUUUUUUUUUGGUACAUGCAGAGCUGAUGUCUCAGUGAGUUUCAAACUGAGAGUUGAAAGAAACCAUAUUUUCCAGUGAGGCAUACAAUAGGCACAUAAUAAUACAAAAGGCUCUCUGUUUUGCUUGCGUUAGUUAUGAUAUGAUGGCCGGGGGUCCCGACUGAGAAUUUAUGAUAAAUAUCUACAGUUGGCUAAGAUGUUUGUUCAUUACUAUAUCCUCAUUUAAUCCAACCCAAUUCGAGGAGGGGUAACAGUCAGUUGUUACCCGAAAACUACUGGCGGUAGCAAUUUUUAACCGGAGGGAGGAUUAAAAAUAGUGCAGAUAAAAAAAGCAACACCCUGUUGCGACUGUUGAGGUGCAAAGGCCCCCCAACUUUCUGGAGCACAAACGACACCUUUUGCUGUACAAAGUUUGGGAAUUUUGUGAACGAAGCAUGCACGAAUCUUCCGGGCACGAUUUAAAAUGGGACAGGAUCCAAUACAAACCCCUGAUUUUUUUUUCAACCGGAUUCCGGACGAAAACGACGUCAGAUUUGAGAGUAAAAAAUAAGGAAUUGCGUGGGGUAGGUGGCUCACCAGGCAGGCAGCAGUCGCCGAGGCAGUUCCUCCCGCAGCCGGCGCGCGGCUUGUCGGCGUCGUCCUGGUAGUUGGAGACGACGGUGGGCACCCUCUUGAUGGUGAGCUUCAUCUCCAUGCCGGCGGGUGGGUGGGUGGGUUUACUCUCGGGGUGAGAACUCGUCGGGGGUCGGGGGGGGGUUAGCUAAGAGAGAGGGGCUAUUCGCUAGACAAGGAGGAAGGGGUGGGGGUGAGAGAGAGAGAGAGAGAAAGGAGCGGCUGCGGCGGCUCAGAGGGUCCGACCGCCGCCGGCGAGGAAGAGUAGAUCGGACGGGCUUCCUCCGGCCGAGGGCAGCGCCCCGCGGCCGCCGUGCGGGGCGGGGCUUGCCGCGACGGCGGAGGCGAUGGUCCCCGUUGGCUCCACCUGCGCAGCUGGGGGGCCGCGCCGGGGGGCUGCAACGCUAGCCGUGAUUGCCUACAACUCGGCCACGCCCCGAGGGGAGGGAGGAGGAAGGGGGCAGGCUGCUGCGCGGUUGCGGAAUCUGUUGCCGAGGCGGCCCUGCGCCCCGGGGUCGGUUCUCCUGUUCUCUCCGGCGAGGCGGGAGGCGGCAGCGGCGGUGCGUUGGGGGUUGCGCUGGGUUUGGUCUGGGAGGGGGAGGAGGAGGCGGGGUGGCAUUAAAUAGGGGGGAGGAGGUGGGGGAGGCGGAUUUGUGGUGCCGCUGGUGCGUGAGCUGCUGUGUGGUGGAUCUCAACGGACGGACACGACACGACCCCGAUCCUCUCUGCAGCAGCGCCAGAUGGCCAGAACCACGGCGCUCUAUGCGUGCUGUUAUUUUUUCUUUGUCUUCUUUCUGUUAUUACUACUGUACUCGUUGUGUUGUGUUCUGUGUUCGGUUUUUUUCCUCCGGUGGUUCACGGUUCGCGUUCUGGGGUUCCUGGACCAGGAGCAUCUGCUUUCUCUCAGCAAAAGGGCCCGUUUGUUUUCUUUUCAAAAAAAAAAGAACACGCUAUGUACACAGACAUUCACAUGUACAUAUAUUUAUUUGAUAUAUAUAUAUAUAUAUAUAUAUAUAUAUAUAUAUAUAUAUAUAUAUAUAUAUAUAUACACGGCAGCGCUAUUCUACACCGCAAGUCAAAUUUGAGCAGAAAAAAUACUGAGCAGUACUGAACCACGUUCAGUAUCGAUACUACACUCAGGACCGCGAAAUACUGAACAAUACUGAAAUGCGAAUACUGAACGAUACUGAAUUCCGUUCAGUAUAACACUUUGGUGUAGAAGAAUAGCACUUAUCUCUUACAACUAAAAAGACUAAAGAGUGGACAUUUUUUGGUGCAGCUAUUGUCUUCGUCCGUCUGCCAUCUACUCCUGCGAACAUGACCCUCGCCGCCUCGCGUGCCGCGGAUGGGACUGCGUAGAUCAAGGAAAGAUUAAAGCUUUAUCCAAGGAAAGAUUGAAGCCGUAUGCUGUAUACCUCGAUCAUUAGUUCAUUAUUAGGAAACACAAAUUCCAUCCCGCAAUCGCGUCGGUCUCCUCCCUGCUUCUCGCUAUCCUUGUGACCGCGACAUUGCUCCCCACGGUGCUGGCUGUUGCGUGCACAGAGACGGCCCUACUCCGCCGCCCAGAACAAGAGCAGCGGCAGCGCCUCCGUUACCAUGCGGCGUGCUUCCAGAACGCCAAGACGGAUGCGUGCGUUGACGACAUCUGCUAAUAGGACUAGCUAAUCUAUCUGCUGGUUUCCCUUCACCUGCUGAUCGGAGAAAGCUCUCGGCGAGAUCAACUCGCUGAGUCGCUGUCUGAAAUCCUGAAUGAGCUUUGUGGCCGGCAGCUCCGAGGCUCAUCAACUCUGUUUCUUGAUCCCGUCGGAGCAAGCACCAGCUCCCGCGGUACAGCCUCAUCAUCCGUUCGCCAUGAACCGGAGGUCGUCGGCGAGGAGGAGAGGCGAUCCUCACCCUCACCGCCGGGGCGCAAUGCACGGUGCCGUCGAGCCAGCAGAAGCAGCAACACCGUGGCCGGCCGCAGGGAACGCGGGCAGCGGCAGCGGCGGCGGCGCCGCCCGUGCCGCCGGGCUACUUCACGGCGGAGCUGGUGCUGGCGUUCCUGUUCGUGGCCGUGUCGCUGGCAUUCCUCCCGCUGGUCCUGCCGCCGCUGUCGCCGCCGCCGUUCCUGCUGCUGCACGGAGGAAUCCGUCGGCUCUAGGUCCAUCUCCGGCCUCGACUUCGUGGUCCACCCAUUAGACGACAGCUGUUGGCUGGUGUUCUCCGAUGACACUGCGUUCGCAUUCCCGGCCUCCCGCGGCGCCGCGGUGGUGCAGCUCUGCGACUUCAAGGUUGAGUUUUCCAUCUGUCGGUGCAGCUCUGCCACUUCAAGGUUGAGUUUCCAUCGAUGACAUCGCCGAGUUCCUGGUGUUCCCAACUGAUAACUUGCUGCUGCUCCGGCUCUCGGCAGCAUCACGGCGGCGCAGUUGGUCAACCAGGGUAUGCCCACCCCUUCCCUGCUCUCCUUCUGUGCAAAAGCAGACACCUAAGCAUCAUAUGUAAUGCGGGCAACAUCUUUGACAAAAUGUCUCUGUUCUUUUUUUCCUUGCGUGACAGAACAUGACAGGUUAAGUAAAACUUUAUACUAAAACUGAGAACAUGACAAAAUGUCUUCCCAUGCAUAGCAUAAGUGAGUCUGUUCCUCUUUGCUGUCUUGAUCAAUACACCAGCAGUGAAGGAGCCUGAGGAAUAAAGAUUAAUAAACUGAAAAUUCCAAGUACAACCCCUACAGUAGGUAUGCAAUUUGAACAAAGGUAAUAGAGUAAUAUGUGCUUGACUGAUAGUUCCAUAUUUAAGUUUAGUAAGAAGCCUGUUGAAGAAUCUCCAAACAUCAAAACAUGCAUUAGGUGGAGUUCACUGCAAUAAGAAACAAAUCACACUCAGAUUAGCAAUGCACAUAAGAGUUUCACGGAUGUACGAUUUAGCAUUCUAUGACAACAUGUGCAACAAGCUUGUUAUGAGUCAUUCAAAACCAUACUUGGGUUAAAAAAAGAAGUACGAUACUUAGUAAUUUAUCAUGUGUGUGAGUUGAAUGAGGUCUCGAUCAUACUAAAGAGUUAUUGUUUUAGCCCUCAUCUGAUGCUAGCCACAGCAUAUCUGAGAGAGCCUGCAUGUUUAGUAUCUUGUGAAACAACAGUUGUAGCUCUUUGACCAUCGGCAAGGCUUCUUUGUUCUUUCUCAUAGUUCAGAGGUUGCAUUAUGUCCAGAACAUGUCAUUUUCAGAUAUAGCAAGCUACUGCUCCAUUUUCAGAAAACUGCUCCAUGGUAGUUGUUGGAAGAUGAAGGCCUAUCAUACACGAUGUAAUACCGUAGUGAAGUCUCGACUAUUCUAUGGUCAGAUCAUUUAGAUGCCACAUCUCCUUCCCAAAUAUGGACUACCAAGGUACAACUCUCACCAAAGCCAAGAGGCAAAGAAGUGUUUAGGCAGAUACAUGUGUCGUGUGAUAGCUUUUUUUCCUAAACAAUGUGUUAUCAAAAGUGUAUUAAUACUAAUUUAAUGACCAAAUUAGGAUUUGAACUACUAAGAAUGCCCUGGAAUUGUACAACACUAUUGGUCAAACAAUAUUUUUUUUAUUUAUGUGUCUAAAAUUCCUUUUCUCGUAUCGGUGUAUAUUUCAUAAAAUCCAAUUGUACUUUUUUUUGGAAAUUAGGAUACAUUUAUUUGUUCCAGAGAUUAGUUUUGCUUCAAGUUAACUUAUAGUUGGAUUCUAUAUAUGUCCACUUCUUUUUGUGUUCAUAUCAGAGUUCUCAAUGCAUGAUUGCUUGCAGGGUAAAUCAAAGUUAGAAAGGAGCCAUCAUAUCAGGGUUCUGGAAGGUGUGUCCCUCCUACUUCUUAGGGCUAUUGAGGCCUUGUUUAGUUCUCUGAGUGAAAAGUUUUCGGGGGAUUGUAGCAUUUUCAAUUGUAUACAUUUGAUAAUUAUUGUCUAACCAUGGACUAAUUAGGUUCAAAAAAUUCGUAUCACAAAUUAUAGGAUAGGUUCAAAAGAUUUGUAUCACAAAAUAUAGGCAAACUAUACAAUUAGUUAUUUUUUAUCUAUAUUUAAUGCUCCAUGCAUGUGCCACAAAUUCGAUGUGACAUAAAAUCUUGAAUUUUUUUUGAAUUUUGGGUCAAAUUAAACAAGGCCAGAGCAUUCUAAGAAGCUAAACCCUUCGAGAACACUGCUAGAUGGAAAGUAGUUUUUCACAUGUCAUGUUUUAUACACAAGCACUUUGUGUCUGUAUUAAUUUUAUGAACUCUGUUUUUUUAUUAAAUAUCACUUUAAUGUUGAUUUUUAAUUUCGUAGUAUUAUUAUCUUAUCAUGCGAUACAUAUGGAUUUAGUACAAAAGUCUAACUGUCCCGUAGCAACGCACGGGUAUGCUACCUAGUGUAUAUAUAUAUAUAUAUAUAUAUAUAUAUAUAUAUAUAUAUAUAUAUGGAGACUCAGAGGUUUUUCUCGACUCGUGUGUAGGGUUGUCUUACGUCGCAAAUCAAAUUUUAUACACACACGUCACAAUUAUUAUUUUAGGUCAUAUUGGCAUAACUCCGCUUCACAAAUAGAGUUGUUUUAGCUUCAACUCCACGAGCAGAUCUACUGAUGAAGGUGAAGUUAGGUAAACUUUUUGAAACCAUGCUCUUUCAACUUAGACCUCUGCCUCCAUGCAGCAGAGCAAGUUGAAGCACGGAGAAGCAGCCCUUGUUAGUAGCUAUCCUACGGUGUUUUACUUUCAAAAUGCAGCAAGAGCUGAGUUAAAGUGCAGCCAAAUGGGGCCUAACAAUUCUCGAUUUUAUCCCAAACCAAUCCCUUGGGGGAGCAUGUUUUAAGAAGUUUUUUUACAUGUGAAGAUGUUUCAAAAAUACACGUUUUGCAUAAAAUAGUUCUAAACAGCUCAUAAACCUAUUGAAGAAGUUCUUAAACAGUGGUAGAGAAACGAGGAGGCUAAGGCUAAGCGUAGAUUGAAAACUUUAUUCUCGGAGUUUUCUAGGGACUAGAUGACGUUUCUAGUGGAGAUUAUUGUAAGGCCUUGUUUAGUUCUAAAAAAUUUUGGAAAAUCGACACUAUAACACUUUCGUUUGUAUUUGACAAAUAUCAUUUAAUCAUGGACUAACUAGGCUCAAAAGUUUCGUUUCGUCAAUUCCGACCAAAUUGUGCAAUUAGUUUUUAUUUUCGUCUAUAUUUAAUACUCUAUGCAUGUGUCUAAAGAUUCGAUGUGACGGGGAAUCUGAAAAAUUUUGUAAAAUUUUUUAGGAACUAAACAAGGCCUAAGAAUGCUCCUAAUGGUUAGGUUCUGUUUUUUUUUGGCAACUAUAAACAUCCCAUCAUAGUGCCCAACAAGCCUUGACGAUAGCCUUGAUCGCCCGAGGUGGAAGGUCUAUGGCCAUAGCCAAGUACGUAUACCAGCAUAGACUUUGCAUAUAUUGACCAAUAUCCUUCUGCUAGCCCCUUUUAACAAAUCCACUUUUUCUAGCUUGAGAGUUGAUCGACAAUCCUACAAAUAAUAGGGUGAUGAAAUUGGGUUUCUACCACUCUAAUGUCCCAUGACUAAAAAUUUGGUGUUUCGCUUAUUUCAACAAGUCGUGGAUCAAUCUAAUUAAUAACUCAAACAAAUAGAACUCAGCUUGCAAGCCUGUUUAUUUAGCUGAUAAACCAUGACUUAAAGUACUGUUCACUGAUUUAUUAUUAUUGUUCACUGAUUUAUUGUGAGAGAAAAAUACUGUUGAAUAAUUGAUAGAUUCGACGAACAAGAGAACAGGAGAUUGCUCGUACAAAAUCUAUCGAGCCACUGGCGGCAGGUGGUGGGGCUCCUCCUGCUGCCUGCUGCUGACACAUUAGAUGCUACCGCGCAGGAGCAUGAGCAUGCAAAAAAGCAUGAGCAUGAGCUAGCUGCUGGCUGCUGCUGACACAUUAACGAACGAGCAUGAGCAUGUGAAGCGAUCUAGCUAGGAUAAUAUGAUUUUAUUUUAGCACGAUCAAGUAGCCCAGACUCUAUAAAAUUACUUGCUCCGCCACUGUAUCGAGCCAUGCAUCAAACGGCUAAAACCUCCACAAGUUUCACCUGAUAAACAUUUUUUUCUAUAUAUUUUCGAUGGGGUGGGCUUUUGAAUGGCUGAGAUAACUAGAGGUAGUGUCUAGUUGGAUGAUGACAACGAAAAAGCAACCCUGUAGCACACAGACAGAAACCUCAUAUAUUAUGGUACGUACGGCUAAUAUGCGGCAACGGAGUAGGUUGGGAUGUGGUCGAGAGAUCAAACACAACACCGGAGUAAUUAAGCAAAAUGGUUGGAGGUGGCAAUGAAAGCGGUACACAUCCAGUACUGAUCCAACUGCCAAGAAAGAAAGAACAAUAUAUAUACGUACGUGUCGACUGAGGUUUAAGGAAACCAUAAUCGACUCGCAUCUAGUCCUCAAGUACUUCUAUAUGCUACGUAUACUGAAUCAGGUCAAGUCCGUUUACUUGUCUGAAAAGUCAUAUCUAAAAGUAUUAUUCACUAAUUUAUUGAGAAAUUAUAAAACAAGUGAACGGACUCGGCCCAUGGAGUUGCUAUGCUAGUCAGCUAAUGAGGUUGUCGACCUCGCGCUGCUGGUACUACGGACGAAGCGCGCAGCACGCACAAGUGGGUCUCUCGAGGAUGAGCCGCGCGCGCUAAUUUCAAUCGUUCACACGAUCGAUCUGAUCCAUCGUACGUUGUCGUCUAUACGUAGGGGUACACACGUGUAAUUGAACACGGUAACCUUGACGGCGAUCGAUCGAUGCCCACGGGGCCGCGCGCCGCCGCCGGGGACGCCGGCCGGGUGGACGACGGAGAAGCAGCGGUGCAUGUGAACCACGUAAAAACGAGAGCUCAGCUCUCGGCGGGUGACCCGACGACGUACGACGUGGUGAGGCCGGCAGCCCCGUGGUUUCGUGUGGCUGGCAGCCUCCCAUAUAUCGUCUUCCCCGGCCCCAUCGGUGGUUUUGGGCCGCACAGGCAUGGUGCACUGCCACGGGACCACGUUGCCGCCUUUCUUGCACCGCGCAAAGGCUAGCUUUCAGCACCUUGCUGCUGCUGCCGUCGACGUCGCCACGUACUGAUAGAUAGCUAGUGCUAGUACGACUGGUACGUACUUGGCUGCUUGCCGGUAAUUAAGAAAUUUGUUGCUUCUCUUUGUCUUUCAUAUGUACUGAUACUACUCUAUUAUCUAGUGCCACGCUGGCACUAAAAAAGCCGAAACGCAUGCAUAUGUAUACGUGCAUGAGCUGAGGCCGUACAUAUCAACAAAAAUAUAUAUGGACGAUGAGAUAUAUACGCGUCUCCACGGAUCACGGAUCACUGAUUGGCUGCGAUGGAUUAAUGCUUCGUUCCACUAGGGCCUUGUUUAGUUCACUCCGAAAUCCAAAAAGUUUCAAGAUUCCCUGUCACAUCGAAUCUUGCGGCACAUGCAUGAAGCAUUAAAUAUAGACAAAAACAAAAACUAAUCACACAGUUUGACUGUAAAUCACGAGACGAAUCUUCUCAUUCUCACUGUUAGGAAGAGCGAAGCAGUGGUUCUACGCUACAAAGGAGAAGAAUACUACGUGGGCACUCUGCUCUAUGAACUUUCUGGCUAAGUUCUUUCCCAUGGGCAAGACCAAUGCUCUCCGUGGGAAGAUUACAAGUUUUCAGCAACAACAUGAUGAAUCCGUUCCAGAAGCUUGGGAGCGCUUCCAAGACUACAUCCUAGAAUGUCCCCAUCAUGGAAUGGAGAAUUGGCUAUUAAUGCAGACGUUUUAUCAUGGGCUCGGCAAUAGUGCCCGAGAAACCAUGGAUGCUGCAGCUGGAGGAGCAUUUCUAUCACUUACCAUAUCACAAGCCACAACUCUUGUGGAGAAGAUGGUGUCCAACCAAGGCUGGAAUGAAGAGAGGACCCAGACACGCAAGAGAGGUGGAGGUAUGCAUCAGCUCAAGGAGGUAGACAUGCUGUCUGCAAAGCUAGACCUGCUCAUGAAGAAGCUCGACGAUAGAGCUAGAGAUAAGAAGGAAGUUAUGCACAUCUACGACUCUCACAUGACUUGUGAGGAGUGUGGAGAUACGGAACACUCAGGCAAUCACUGCCUUGAGAUGCUUGAGGAUGUGAACUACAUCAUCAACAACAACAACAACUACUACUACAACCGUCCUCAACAAAAUCAAGGUUGGAAUCAACAGAGGCCUAACUACUCAGGUAAUUAUCAAGGUAACAAUUCUUACAACAAUAAUAAUAAUUUUUCACCUCUGAGAGAGUUAAUGUCUAAUCAAGGAAAGCUAAUGGAUAACCUAUCUAAGAAAUUGGCAUUAAAUGAUAAAAUGCUAGAAAAUAUAAAUAAUAGAAUGGAUAAUUUCUCUACUGCCAUCAAGAAUCAAAUUAGCUUUAAUAAAACGAUUGAAUCCCAGUUAAAUUAAAUAGCUGCUGCUGUUCCUACUACUAACCCCGAUAUACCAUCACAACCGGAAGGAUUAGAAUCUGCAAAUCUUGUAGACAUGUUUGAUGCAGGGAAUUGGAGUAACCCCGUCACUGAAGUUACUACUGAUCUUCUGCCGGUCAAGAGAGGUGAUCCAGGACGCCCCGUCAUCCCGAUCGCCAUCGGCAUGGUGGACAUCCCAGAAGCACUCUGCGACUUUGGCUCUAGUGUCAACAUUAUGCCCAGGGUACUCUAUGAAAAUUUUUUUACAUAUCCUUUAUUAGAAACAACCAUGUGUUUGCAGUUUGCAGAUUAGGCAUUAAGUUUCGCUAAGGGAAUAUUGAAGAACCUCUGUGUCCGAGUUGGUACCUUGUAUGCCCUAGCAGACUUCGUGGUGAUAGAGACCGGUAAUGAUGAGAGGGCACCCAUUAUCUUAGGGAGGCUAUUCUUAAACACCUCGGGAGCUGUCAUCUACGUUAGUGCUGCCAAGAUCAGUUUGUACAUCAAAGGGAGAAAGGAGACAUUUUUCUUCAAGAACAAGACUACACAAAUCCCAGAUCAAUCCAGACAUGAACCAAGGAAGAGGACCAACAGGAGGAACAGGAACAAGCAAGUGUGGACCGAGUCAGCUAAGAUGGUCACUGCAGUGCAUGGAGGCCAAGAUCAUCAACUUAAGUCACCGUGUCUGACCAAGAAGGAUGACCCAGGAAUGUCAAGCAUCUAUUGCUCCAUAAAUGGAUAUAACUUCUACAAGACGACUUGCGACACCGGAUGAGGCAUCAACAUAAUGGCCGCAGUCACCUAUCGACUCUUGUUCGGAGCCAUGCCCCUAAAACCAACAUACAUUCAGCUCCAGAUGGCAGAUCAGACAUUUCGAGAAGUUAAAGGAAUAGUAAUUGAUGUCCCUAUCAAAAUAGACGAUCAUUUCGUCUACACAGACUUUCAGGUUAUUGACAUGGGAGAAGACGAAUACAAUCCACCCAUUAUCCUUGGUAGACCGUUCCUCAGCACCGUUAAAGCAAUCAUCUACAUUGGAACUGGAGAAGUCCAUAUGCACUUCCUCUCAGAGAAGGUACGCCGCUAUUUUACUGACCCUAACUAUAUCGUUGAAGACUCUAAGCAGGUCACGAAACGACGCAACCGCAACCAGAGGAGGGAGAUCAUCAAGGAUGGAUGGGCAGACUAUGAAGGAGAAGUAGUAAGGUCAGAAGACGUACAGUUUAAACACAAUUAUCCAGAGGAGACUGUAGCACCGAGUCAUGUGUGGAAAGAGAAAAUAACUAUACAUGAAGAAGAGGCGCCGCCAGAAGUACCGACUCCGCCAUCCAAUGAAUCCCAGGACAACUGAAGAAAACGGAGAGUCCCGUUCGGAGGACUUAAAAAACACCGAACGCCUUGCCAAGAGGUAAACUUGGUAGUUAUCCUUUCUCUUUCUAUUAUCUAAAAUAGUUCACUUAGUUAAUUAUGUUCAUACUAUCCUAAAAAGAAAAUAAAAAUGUUAAAAAACAGUAAGCCCCAUGUGAGUAUACGAGUGGCAUAAAACCCAUAAGUACAUUCACUGUGGUGGCAUAAAAAUAAAAUAAAUAUUUUUUAUGCUUUAUAAAAUGAAAAUAUAAAAAUAGAGAGUAACAUUUAUUGAGGAGUCUCAACAUGAUGAAGGCUAGAUAUUUAUGCUAACACUUAAUCAGUUCCACAAAGCUUUGUUGUCUAUUUGAGCUCCACAGAAUUCAAGAAUCAAGAAGACUAGCAGACGGAGGACAUUUUAAUCGCUGUCAGAAUGCUGCUGACUUUCAAAUACACCUCUGCCACCUGCUAGCUACAUCAAGAUAAAUCACGUCAAAAUUCAGCUUGGGGGAGAGCAACCCCAUUUAUCCCGAUAAGUAUUUCUAUCUAUCUUUAUAUUUAUACUAUAUUAAAAUAUAAAUAUACAUAACUAUGAAAAAAACCAAAUAAAGAGUUUUUGCCUAUAUAUAUAUAUAUAUAUCUUUUGCUUAGUGUGUUUAAUAAAUAAAUAAAGUGGCUAUGCUAAACUGUAUCUAAAUAAAACUCUAGCAUGGAUAUGAUGAAUAGUUGCUCUGCCUAAUUUUUAAAAUUUGAGUUCUCUCUCAAGUUUAGACAUAACUGUUAUAAUUUAAAGCUUGCUCUAAACCUAAACUUGUGGGAAGAAAACUUGAUCUGAAGUCUAAGUUGUUAACGGAUAUGAUAUGGGAAGGUUGAGCUCUUGUUUAUCUGUUCCUAGAGAUGCUAGAAUUCUGGAGAAUUUUAUCUUUGAAAAUCUUUAAAAUAGCACAUGAUGAGUUCCUGUAUGAUGAGAGUUUAAAUUCCUACCACAAUCAUAUAUACAUGCUUGCUAGAUUUUGAGCCACACAUUUACUUUUUAUGAGCAUUGAGUGUGGUCAAGCUGUGUAGACCCUUAGGAGCUUGUCAUGUGGUUAAAUCAAGAUUCACUUGCACGUUCAUUCACACAUGCUGCUUCUACUCCGGAAGUACCAUCCACAUAUAUCCACCCAUUUCCAUCUCCAGAACCACCCAAAAAUAUUCUACUCCUAAUCCGGGAGAGAAUGGCCAAAAAUAUUUAUGUUUCCCCUGUGAAAUAAAUGCUCAAGUUAUCUUGUUACUACCACUUGCUACAUUAUCUCAAGAGAUGAGUGCUCUAAAAAAAGAAUACGAGAAAAUAAAAAGGGGCAAGUGCCCGGAACCUCGAAAGAAAAGAAAAAGUGAGACGAGAGGUAAAAAUAGACAAGUGUCCGACAGCAGAAUUAGGGGUACAAAAUACCCACCUGAGAGAAAAGAAAAAGAAGAGCAUCUCAUUCUCCUCAAAAAGUUUCAAAAGAGCAAGAAAGGUAUGUAUCCCCUCAAAGAGCAAAAGUAGAAUUAGACUUCCACCAUUGUUAUCACCAUACACCAUUCAUUCGCCACACAUGCACAUCUUGAUUUGACUUAUUGGCUUGUUUCUUUAGAUCCAUGGUUUGACUAUACAAUAAAUGUCUUGUGAGUAUGUAUAUUUUAUCUCCCACCUAUGAGCUCCAGAUAUCAAAGCCUUAUUAGAGUAGGGUGAGAGAGAAGGUAAUGUCACUAUGCCUUAUACCAUAAAUACCACAUAUCUUGAGAGAAGGCAUAUACCAUCACUGCCUUGGUAAGGAUCCAGAAAUACCACAAAAGAGAGAUAUGAGAGAGUCAUACAAGGAAUCUCUGAGUUUUAUUUGAAAAUCUGCAAAAACUCCAGAGCUAUAGCUGAUCAAGAAUAAGAGACAUGGCACUUGACUAGACUGUUCUAUCUUUUAACUACUCA
rnacentral:lncRNA from 1 species